rnacentral:lncRNA from 1 species
UUGAUUUUUCUUUUAAUUACUCCAAGAUUUUGCAAGAGAUUAUAAAGCAAUCUCUACCACUUUCAUUACAUUCAAAAAAACAUGAUUUAUCAUAUAUGUGCUUUGAAUUAUAGAAUGCAAUCUUAGCCAUUCUAGUCUUACUUAUUCCACCUAUUCUACUAAGACAUAUUGCCUUCAUAUUGUUUUGAUAUAGUUGUUUGAUAUGCAAUAAGUAUUGUAUUCUAUCUAAUAAUUUAUCUUCUAAUUAUUUAGCCUAUAUUUAUAAACAUAACCAUAAAUUAGUUAAAUUCCUUAGUGCAUGAAAUUUGAAAAAUAUAUAUUUAUUUAAAAGCAUCUAAUUAGCAUCAUAUCACAAAGGCUAAUAAUUAUAUAACAUUAAAAUCAAUUUAAAUAAUUCUAUGCAUAUUCACCAUAUUUAUUUAUAUAAAUCUUAUCAAUGACAUCCUAUUGUGAGUUUCUUGUGAUUGUAUGAAUUAAUGAAUCCUCUUUCUAUAAAUCAAAUUUUAGUAUUUAAGAAAUACCAUCUUCUUUCAAAAAUAAUUUCUUCAAUCUCAUCAAUCUUUUGCAAAUACUUGCAAAUUUUGGUCAUUACAAAAGAUUUUACUUCCAAUAUUCUUCAAUAAGCUUUUUUAGUUCAUUUCAAUUUGAAAGCAACUUUGAUCUUUCACCCAUAUUUAUUCUUUUUAAUAUCUCUCUUCUCAUAGUAACAUUGUAAAAUGGAUCUUUAUUUGAAAGAAUUAUAGAAUAUUCUAUCAAAAAUGAAUAAAUAUUUGCUUCAAAUAGAUACAACUUUAUUUAUACUAAUUUAUUUUUUAAUACUUCAAAAGCUAUGUAUUUUAUACUACCAAAGAGAUUAUUAUUUUUUGUAGCUUUUGGAUUCGUUCCAAUAUCAACCUUUGGCAUUCUAAAAUCAAUCAAUUUUACAUCAAUAUAUUUAGUAAUCUCAUUUAUUAUUUAUUUUUUAAUAAUAUUAAAUAAGACAUUUUUUGGCUUCAAAUCUCAAUGUACAAUGUAUAUAUUAUGAAAAUAACACAUUCUUCUUGUAAUUUGAUACAUAAUAUCAACAAAGAAAAAUAUGGUUUUUUUUCUUUUACUUUCAACACAUUCUUUAAGCUUAUUUGCAUCAACUCUAUUCCUAAAUAUAAACUUUCAUUUUUAUUUUUUAUAGUAUAAGAUUGACCAUUCCCAAUAUCAUCAUCUUUCAAUGCAAAAUAAUACAAAAUCAAAUUGAAACGGAUUAAAUCUAUUAAAAUUCUCACUUCUUUGAUAAAAAAAACUUAUUAUAUUUAACAUACAUCAUUUCUCCUACACACAAAAAUCUCCACCAUUUUAUUUUGUAAACUUCUCCAAAAGAUCAUUUAUUUAUAAAUUCCAUACUUUUAAUAUUUAUCAUGUUUGAUGACAACUUUAAAGCAUCCAAUUCUCUACUUUUUGUGCAAUGCGUGUCCUUCAAUCUUUGUAAUAAAUUGUUAGUUACAAUAUUCAAAAUUUUCAUUUCUACUUGUAAAGAUCAACUGCUAGUAUAAAUUUUUAUUAUCACCUUCUACUUUAUUAAAGGUUGAAUAAAUUUUUUUGUAAAUAUGGUAUCUUCAAAUGUCUUCCAAUUUUGCUUUCUAAACACAUCACUUACCACAUCAAAAUAAUAUUCAAAUCCCAAAGAAGUUCUCUAAAAGUCUCUUUAUUCUUCCAUUGAGAUAUAGCCACUUAGCACCAAAUUUUCAUUUCUACAAUUUUUUAUCAAUAAUUCAGCUUUAUUCACGAUAAUAAAUAAUUUAUUUAAUAAAAUUCCAUAUUACAUUCUAUCAUUGUUGUAAAUUAUUAGUUGUGAAAAGACCUUUAUAAUACAAGCAAUUUUCUUAUGUAGAUUUAUACAUUGUCUUUUCUUCAAAUGAUCUAUUCUCAAUAAAGCUUGUAUUCUUUCAAGACAAAUUUGACAUUCUUUUCAAAUAUUUUUAUUAGUAUCUUGCAUACUUGAUGUGGUGUCAAUAUAUUUAACAUUGUUUAUAAAUAUUUGAAUCCAAAAAUCCACUACCAACCUUAAAGCCAUUGAUAAAAAUCUUGUAAAUAAUUUUAAAAGAUAAGUCAUAAUAAAAUACUAAUAAGUAUUUUAACUUGAUUCUUAAUCACACAUUCAAACAUAGAGAGUAGUUUUAAUUGAAAUUAGUCAAAAUUCAUCAAUAUACAUUCUAUUAGAUAUAAAAAUUAAUAAUUAUAUUAUUACUUAUAGCAAUGUCAAAUCUUCAAUAAAUAUUCUAAAUACUAAAUUAAGACAUUCAAUCAAAUUUAAAAUUAUCCAAUUUUAGAAUAAUACUCACUAAGUUGUCUUUGUAUUACUUAUCUACUGCAUUCUUCUUCAAUUUUCUUGUAUAAACUACUACAUUUAUCCUACAAAAUAUUUCCAAAUUAAAAACCAAUUUUAAAAUUCCAACCUUCAAUAAGACUUAUUUGCACUUAUAAACAUAAAAUAAGUAUACAUUCAUACUAUAAAGAAGUUACUACAAACAAAAAGAUUAUAUCUUAUUAAUACAACCAUGUUAUCUCAUAUAUAUCUAUUAGUCAUAAUUUUGUGUCUAAAGAUGUAAGAUAUUUUAGAAGCUCAGGAUGAGAAAACAUUGGAAGAACUUUGAUUGUAUCAAUUAUUAUUCUUUCAAAUUAUUGAAUACUACUUAACUUCUAUAAUAUGUAAUUAAUGAAUUUAAAAUUAUUUAGAUGAUGGCUUACUUUCUUUGCUUUAUUCUACAAUCUUUCAUAUAAUCAUUUUUCAUUAUACUUAAUUUUUUUAAAAUCACAUAGAUUUAAUUGGUUGCAUCUUAAGAAUUUAAGUUAUGUAUAUUGAAUCAAAAAACUAUUUUAAUAUUGACAUAUUUUGGAAAGAAUGGUAUAUUAUAAAUGAAUUGUAGUGAAUAAUGACACAUGAUUUGUAUAGCAAAUAAAAUAUUCUUUUAUAACUAUCAAAUGAGCCUAAAUUAAAAAUAAUCCAUUAGGUACUUAUAGAGCUAUGAUCAAUCCAACUUAGAACAAUAUUGAAAUAUUUUUUUGAAUGUGGUAUCCAAUUACAUAUGAGUACUUUAUAAGACCUCUUUUGACCUUGAUAACUACUUCUAACCUCCUAUGCAUACUUUCUAUAAAAUUUUGGUACACAAUUGCUUCAAUAUUAUUUUAUUAUGCACCUAUUUUUUUCCAUAAUUUCCAAACUUCCUUUAGUUUUAGCUUCCAAUUGUUGAGUUGGCGUUUGAAGUACUGCCAAAGAUAUUCAAUGGAAUUAAGAUCAAGAGACUAAGAAAGCCAAUCCAUUAUUUUAAUUCCAUGAUAAUCAAACCACUUCUAUACUAGUUUUGAAUUAUGCUUGGAGUCAUUAUCUUGUUGAAAAUUCACCUCCUCUUCAAAAAUACCAAAUUUUUCAUUGCUAGGGAGCAAAUUUUUUUCAAGAAGUUCUACAAGUUGUUUGGUAUCCAUCCUCUCCUCAACCUUUGUUAUCUUUCCAACCCUAUUCCAUUCUAUACAAUCUCACACUAUUAUAUUUUUAUCCCCAUGCUUAAUUGUUUCUUCGAUCUUAUUGUCAAGUGAAAAUUGAUCCUUUUGUUUCUACACCCACUUUCUACCAUUUGAUCCAAAUUUGAUGAUUUUUAUCUCACAUGACCAAAUAACCAUCUUCCAAUCUUCCAUAUUCCAUUCCUUGUACUUCAGAGCAAAAUCUAAGCAUAGUUUUCAAUGACAGAUAGAUAAUAGUAUUUUUUUUCUUCUUCAUCUCAAUUUUCAUAUUCCAUUUUUUGAGAAUAUUUUGAAUGGUUUGGAUUGACACAAGCUUACUGAUAAUAUUUUUAAAGUUUUUAGCAACCUCAAUAGCAUUUUUAGCCUUCCUAGUGUUGAUUUGGUAAAUGAUUAUUCUUUCAUCUACUACAAUGAGUUUCUUUGGUCUACUUAAUUCAAGUUUUUUCCUAUUCAAAGUAAUCUUUUUUGCUAGCAAAGAGAUAAUAGCUUUAUUAAAGCCAAGUUUAAAAGCAAUUUAACCAUAAGAUUUUUGAGAAUGAAGAAAAGCACAUGUAAUGUUGUCUUAGAAAGAACAGGAAAUAGAUUUCAUAACUGUUCAAAGAAUUGUCAAAGAUACAAAAAUUUGACAAAGAAAUAUGUUAAGAUUAAAGACAAAGAAUGAGAUUGAUAACAAAAGUUAUUUAAAAGAUUUCUAUUUAUACUAUAAUGAAGGUUAUGAAAGUCUAUGGUAUUUUCUAUGGAAGUUUUUAGAAGUCUAAAAAAGCUUCUAGAAGAUUAAAAAGACUUCUAAAAGCCUAUAGAACUUUCUAAAAAAUCAUAGAAGAUUCUACAAAUAUUUAGAAGGUUCUAGAAAUUUGUAGAAGAUUUUAGAAAGUCCUAAAAUGUGAUAAUUUAUAAUAUGUAUGUGCCAAGAAUUAUAAUUAAGAAUGAUACUUUUAAAGUUAUUAAUAAGUAUUAGUAAUGUCAUUAGAUUAAUAUUAAUAUUAUUAUAAUAAAUUUGAUAAUAAAAUGCAACAAUAUUAGAUAAUUGAUAGAAUUCAAAGACUAAUCACCACACUCAAAAAAUUGUUUUAAUACUAUUUCAAAUUAAGUUGGCUACAACUUCGUAAUUAUUAAAAGAAUUUUUUUCAACUUAAAAUCAUUUGGUAGCUGUAAAAGAGUUCUUUAUUUGCUAUAGAAAUCACGUGUCAUUAUUCAAUACAAUUCAUCCAUAAUACACCAUUCUUUUCAAAAUAUAUUAAUAUUGAAACAAUUUUUUGAAUCAUUGCAUGAAAUCUUAUCUCAUGUAUAACUUCAUCAAUUGUGUUACAUUAUUACUCUAAUUCCAAGAAAACUUUUCUAAAUAUCUCUUUGUUUGUCCUUUGUAUCAAUGUAAUUUCACACCAAUUUCUUCAACAAUUCACCUACACCACCUUUGCCUUCAAAUACACUUCAAAAUAAAUCUUCCAAUAAUAGUUGAAAAAUGUAAAAAUUAAACCCAAUAAUUUGCUAUUUUUUUUGCCAUAUUAUUUCUAAAUUAAACAAUAAAUUUUUACAUUGCCUUGCAUUGAAGAGACAUUUUUUUAUUAGAUCUUAAUUCAAAAAAUCCUACAUCUAAAAAGAAUUACAUGUCAUGAAUUAUUUGUCUCAAACAUAUCUACCAAAACAUACAAAAUAAAUUAUUCAUCAUCAUCCAAACAACUUUAAUUUAAUUUACAUACUUCAUAUGUGGUUUCAACAUUAAUAAUGUAUAUAUAUAUAGACGAAAAUGUUAAAUAGAUCUAGAUUUUUACUAAAUUAAUCCACCAUCCUAACCAUGAUAAAAAUAAAUAAACCACCUCUAGAUUCAUAUCUUCACUAUUAAAUAUGCAAACAAUAAAAAUCAACUACAUUCAUCAUGAUUACCAUAUUCUUUGUCAAGAGUGGGUUGAUUUAGUUUAAAAAAAAUUGAUCUAUUUAACAUUCUCUUAUAUAUAUAUAUAUAUAUAUUCUUUUAAUAUGAAGUUAAUAACAAAGUUUCACAAAAAGAAUAAAGACCUUGCAAUUCAACACUUUGAUUAUCACCUCUUACCAAUCUUACAACAUUACAUACAUUCUCAAACAACAUGCUUAAUCAUUAAUUGUUUUACUUUUAUUUAUUGUUUAUUUAUUUGAUGAUGUUUUUUUUUUUAAUAAGUUUUGUUCAUCUUCUUAGAGGAUAUAAUAAUUUAUAUCAUAAAUGUUAUUUUGAUUUUUUUUAUUUUCUUAUUAUUUUUCUUAUUUUGGUUUAUGUUCGUGGUAAAAAACACUCACAAUCAAGGGGAAGCUAUAAUUCAGUUACGACAAACGCAUAAAAUGAAUGUGAACUGAGAUAACUGAUAGAGAUGAGUCUGACCUGUGUCUAGAAUAAGCAGUGCACACAGAGCGGCUAAAGGAUUUCUGCGACAACUGGAAGUACGUUGAUGUCGCCUGUCCACUGCUACUAGCUCCAGUACUGCCAUUACAUAGCAUUCAUCAGCAGCAAUCUCAACCCCACUCUCAUUCAGUAUUUAGAGCAAAGUAGCGGCCCACUCUCUAUCCACUUUACGAUACUCAAGUUCAACUACUAGAGCGUCGCUACAGAAAACAACUCCAGGCCAAGAAUAUGGACUACAAAUGCUCUGCCUUCAACAAAAUUGUAAGAUCAAAUACAGAGUAAGGGACCGAUUAAUCGUUUUCCGUGAUCAUGGCAUAGACCAUGCAAGUCAUGUAGUGGAUGACCGGGCGUAAUCACAAGUAUUGGAAUGUACUACGAAUGACUCGAAUUUCCAUUCAUGGCAACUGAUUCAAUCGCAAGAGCCGCUUGAAGCGAAUAAAAACUGUUUCCCUCAACUUCUAUGCAUCAUGGUGCAACACAGAGCUUUGGUCGCAAGAGCAGUCCCCUCCCUGCCCCAACUUCGCGAUCUGCUCUAAAGACCAGGUGCAAGAGUAGGUUGAAUACACAUCGCGAAAGAUGAUCCUAGGGUUUCUCACUUGGAGGACCGAACGCAUGCAAAUAAACAGCUCUCCUCACCGCAACACCAGGUUCCAAGGCUCUCCCGUCCGCAUUCACAAAACCCUCACGAGGGUCCAGACCUAUCAUAAAAAGCGACAAUAUCCGAAUGCAUGCACGUGCACAACAAAAACAAAGUCGUCCCCCGCCUUAAUCUCAAAUUACGAAUUCCACCACAAAGUUAUGCUUCGUUCAAAACCAACAGCAUGUUCGAAGGGCAUUCUAUUGCCAGUCGAUUUUUCUUCCAUGAGAACAGGAUCGAAUAAACAACAGACGUACAACAUGCGUAUUCCCACGGGUUCGCGCUCAAAUAAAAACUACAGAUCCUGCACAGAUAAUGGCUACGAUCUCCGGUAGUUGCGAUUCUCACCCUAACCCCUCGUAGCUAAAAACUCGACCAAGACCACUUUCGCCUCGCCUCAACUCAACAUCACGCAAUCUAGUCCCACACGUCCUCCAACGACCAUCACAAAUUUCACCAAGAGGCACAAACCUCCCAAAAAUUCGAAACCAGAGUGAGAGAGAGAGACUGAGUGAGAGAAAGAGAGGCUAGAGAGCCUCCGUCCAGCAAUAGGGUUUUCGGGGUCGACUGAACCUGGAUCCAGCAGACUCAAGAGAUCCAACUGCAGAUGCCCACAGUGUGAAUCAGCGAUCGAGAGGGACCUGACACUUUCAAAGCUGAUACUUGUUGCAACUGAUUCUUCCAGAGUUACGGAACCGACCACUACACAUAUACACAAACGUGCUGCAAAAAUAGCAAAAAAUGGUGCUGGUUCUCACAAUCCCCGGGACCCAUCUGACAACCUUCAAUUAUCUAUUCUGGCGGAUAGGUCCCACGUUUUCAUCCAUGUGGAUAAAUAAAACAUAACCGGCUGAUCAGCCGUGAAUUUAAUGAAUUUGGAGCGAUUGUUCAUGCAAGUGAGCAAGUCUUGGAUUGAAUUCGAAAGGCCAGCUGGUUGUAGUGCCAUGGAUUGUGCACACUGGGUGUGACGAAACCUUCUUAUAUGAGGUCUGCAAAAGCUGAGGGUACUUUAAUACAUAUUUAAAAAGUUAUGAACAAUUUAUAUUAGCAUAUAGAAAGAAAUCUAGUAUAUUCUUUAAUUGUAAUAUAUAAAUUAAAAACAUCCUCUUCUCUACACUUUUGUUUUUGCAAUCCUUUUUUGAUUCCUUAAUAUUUAUGUAGGUAAUGAAACUGGUUCCUAAUGUAGGAAUCUUAUUAGUAAUUUAUACAAAGUCUACAUGAAAGGCCAGUAAAUUUGUAUUCUAUUGUAAUUGUUCUCUUCUUCAUUCCAAUGCAUGUUAAAUCCUCUACAUACACAGAUUAGAAUUUCACUUUUAACCACUCUCUGAAAACAAUAUUCUUACAAAUUCUUUUCUUGUGGCAUCCAUAAUUUACAUCACAACAAACAAACGAAAUAUAUAAAAGGGUUGAAAAUUAAAGAACAAAAAUGCAAGAAAUGGAGGAGAUGGAAACAGCUGGCAAUCUCGUCAUCAUUCCAUGUAUGGACGACAUGCGGAGAGUGAAGAAUGUCGAUCUCACACAGUUUUCACACAAUUCCGAAGCUCCCAUGAAUCAGCGGAGUCUUUUGGGCUCUAAGACUGAUUUUCUUUCAGUUCUUAACCGCUUUGAGGAAAUUUGCUUAAUAUUCUUAAUGUAAUGUGCUGGUUUUUCUGAUGAGACGAUGCAUCGUUAAGCCAUAUCAUAAAACACUGAGUUUACAAAACAGUUUAGAAUGUGAAAUGGACAAACGUUGAAUACUCUAGCUUCAAAUCUUAUGAUAUCAACGCAGUACAGGCUGCUCAUAUGAGGACACUGGUAUGAAAACUCCGGAGCAGGAUAAAAUCCCAAGUAAUUCUCGUGCGCAAAUUUGUGGGUUUCUAAUCAACUCAUUUUGUGUAGAAAACAGGGGGUUCGAGUUUUUUGAAUGGUUUGGAUCCAAGCCAAUAGGGUCAAGGAAGCUCAAACUCUUGAUUCUGACGCCGCUCGUUAAUGGUAUACUUGCGGAAUCCUACUUGACAUGAUCGAUAUUAGAAUUGAAGAGCUCACAAAGCAGAAAAAAAUGCUACAAAUUAGAACGAUGUCUCUUUCUGAACGCUAGUAUCUUUAACAAUAUUAGAUCAAUAAAAAGUCUGUAAAAGUACUACCGUCGUUGCAGUUGUCGAAUCGGCGACGACGAGUGGCCCACAUUGGCUGCCUCCACUAUCCGCCUGCGAUUGCUGAUCCCACGCCCAUUGCUACGCCCCAUCCUUUAGCUGGUGUGUGUAUGUCUGUCACCUGAAUCCAUCCCGUUGUAAUCACACCACCCUAGAACGCUUUAUGACUUUUUUGUAUCCUGUGCACUAGCCGUUUAUCGUAACGCCUGAAAGAAACUAUUGUAGAAUUUGGGUUUGGCGGAAUUGGCGUGGUGUGGUUGUUAAGUCUGGAAAUUGGGUUACUUACGGAAUGCUCUGUUCUUGCAUCGAUUUAACUAUAAUAAACUCAGAAUUUGUCGAAACUUUUGAGGAUUUCUUUUGUUCAACCUGCAGGUGAGGAUAAGCUUUGGCCGAGGCCAUCACUCGCAACCGCGCAGAUUGUGGGCGUUAGAGAUUGCUAUUGUGCUCAUCUACAGCUUCGUGUCCAAGACUUGAAGUAUAAUUUGUGAGUGGUUCAGUUGGGGCACCAUGGUGCAGUGCCUUCCAGCGCAAUGCCAACUGGUCUCUCCUGUGUCUACACAAAUCGGUCCGAGAACUCGACGACUGACGUGCAACGCCGCUAGGAUAUCGCAUAGCCGGAGAGGCUUAGGGCUGGCGGUGAGGGCGGAAUCCAAAUCUGCAUCCACCUCCACAGUCGAACCUGCAGGUCCUGCACCUACUGAAGAAGUGACAUUGACACCCACCGCACCGCCUUCAAAGUCUCUCAUCAAUGAAGAAAAUAUUCUCAGUGCCAUAUCUGGCCGGAGUAAGUCCUUCCUAUUCUAAAAUCGUGUUCCUUAACCCAUAUUUUAGAUUACUCACAGUGUAAGGCGUUCAACUUGUACCAUGUAAUCCUAGACCGUUCUUGCAAUUUUCGGGCUGUUUCCCGAGACCAUCUUGGCAACACAGGUUUUGAUCGUGCAGUGUUAAACUUCGUCUUAUUUUUAACGUUCCCAUUGAUGUGGAGAAUCAGAACUUAGGGAAAAAUGUCUUGGGUGUGGCGUAUGGUCCAGUUCUUGCAAUACAAACUUAUUUAUGCUCUAUCAAAAAACAAAUCGUGUUCAUAGUGUUUCGAUUCAUGUGUUGAAUUGACUAUAUCUUCUUGAAGGUCAUUUAUGACACUCUUUGUGCUCAAAUCAGAUAGAACUGUUGUUCUGCUUACAUAUGAACUCAUUAAACCGAUCUAAAUUUGGAAUAAGAAUUACCAAUGGCAAAGGUGGGAACAGCUUAUUCGUGUGGUUUCGAAUCCACCCGAUUCGUGCUCGUUAUAACAGAAGAAGAGCUUCAUGAUAAGUAUCUUACCGUCGUUUUGUUGAUCAGACAUUAUUGUGGAGGAUCACUACGGAAGGUUACGUGUUAAUCCAGAAGCGUCGUCGUCAGAGGUGAUUCACUCUCCCCGGAACUGACGAGUUUCAAGAAUGUGGCCACUCGUUACAUUAGAAAGUCGCCGAGUUGAUUGUUGUGUGUUCUUCAGUUUAGUUGUCAAGCAUUGAGGUUAUCCUUGCCUUGAAGCCGAGGCUCUACAUCUAGCACAGAAUUUGGUUCACACGGAUCACACGUGCCAUCGCAGGGUUAAAGAAAAAAUUAUGUGUCAUUCAAUGCCACUGUCUUGUAGAUUGUCAAAGCAUAUCAAGAGCGAUGUGCGGAAGUGCGGCAACAAAAUUUGGGGGAAUCCGAAGCUCAGGAGAUCCUUAACAAACUGAAGGUGCAUUAUAUCGAUCUUCCUGUCCCUGGUCUAUGUUUGUAUUUGAUAGACCUGCAGAGAAUUCCCAAUGUUUGUCGAGCUUGUCAUAAGUGUUUCCAACUUAGUCUGUACCUUGUAGCUAGCUGAGGAUCAAAUAGAGCAAAACUUAAAACCAGGAUGAGUAAUCGAAAGCUUCGUCUGCUUGAAUUUGUGGUCACAAUUGUGCAUAGACACUAUGAUUGAGUUCAACUCCUGCGAAUUUUGUAGGAUUCUGUUGACCUCCUGACGUCCGAAGAAGAACGGCGGCUGUAUGACUGGUGCCUGUUGCGCAAGGCAACACACACAGUUGACUACGCUUGGCCUUACGAGGCUGAUCUAACACAGCGGCUCCAAGACCCCACAACUCUCGUUGUAGGUUUCCUUUAACCGUCAUGCAUACUAUGCAAAUAUGGGUUUCUUUUUCCACGUUUAUUUAAUUCUAGUACAUCUUAUGAAUCGCUGUUACGCCACCCAUCAGCUCACUAGGUUAUGUUUAAACUGGAACAUGUCUUCAUCCUCUCCUUUUCUCUUUGCAACUGAUUACAGGCACAUGUACACACAUAUCUUCUAGACAAGAUAUCGACUGAGAGGAAUUAGGGUCAGAGGUUGAAUUCGCUGUUAUCAAUCUCUUUGUAUUAUGCACAGGUGCCGCCGGAAGACGACGGAGUAAACGACCAAGUGGGCCUCUUCUUCGCUGGCUGGUUCGUGUUAUCUUGCGUUCUUAGCAUCGUCAUAGGCCACGGAUGGGACAAAUGCUUGUGAUUCUGCAAUUACAUGACGAGAGCUCUUAUCAGAACUACUGUUAUCAGAACUGCGUGACAAGGGUUCUUGUCGAAAACAAUGCUGUCAGAACUAUAUGAUACGAGCUGUUGUCUGCCUCUAUUACGUAAUAGAUAUUUUGGAAGAAGUCUGAUUUACUGUUAUGUUGCAUAGCCACCCACAUGGUGUACAUAUGGUGCCAAAAAGUUUGACUCAAUUCCACCGUAAAGGUUUGAUGUCUUUAAUUUUAUUUCAUUCAAUAAUGAGGUUUACAUAGUUCAUGAUUUGAUUGAUUGCAAAUUGGUUACGAGGUUGUAGAUGUAUAUAAUAUUCAAAUCGUAUUGUUUCAUACAAAAAAAUAUCAUAUAUCAGAUGUCACAGUUCAAAGUGUGUUGUGUUCUUUUAUGAACUUCUAAAACAGUAUAAAGCAAUUAUCGAAUAUUAUUCUAAUAUUGUCAUAUGUCUAUUUGACUUUACAAUCAAUAACUUAAAAAAAACAAUUGAUUGGAAUAAGAGAAUCUAAUUCUUAAGGCUUUUGUAAAAUUAUUAGUGAAUUUUGUAAUCUCUUUCGUGUUGCUUUACACUGAUCAUGUUUUUUAAUGCAGCUAGAGGUCUCAAUUUUUAUUUUUAUUUUUGGAAGUUGUUACUUUUUAAUAAAAUUAUAUACACUCAUACAUUGUUGCAUUUUAUUCGAAAUUUUUGCCAUGAUCACAAAAAUUCGAAAGAUUAAUGUAACUAUUACUAAAGCUUGAAUACAAAGAUUAUUUUGUACCAGUAAACUAAAUUAUUAAGUAUAUAUAUUUGGGAAAUAUUUUUCAACUACAUAACGCUAUUAGAUCCAUUGGUAUGUUUUUAUCGGUUCUUUUAUAAUUCAAAUAUUUAAGAUACUUUUUAAGUAUAUAUUAAUAGUAUAGCAUGGACCUUAUCAAAACUAAUUUGGCCAGUAUUAAAUUGCAACUUAUUGAUUAGAUGUUAAGACGAAUUAAAACAUUUAGCAUAUCAUGUUUGUACUUUUCCUUUUUGACUUAGAUUUUCUUUUGAGCUUUAUGAUGUUUACAUUACUUUUCUGUAAACUUUGUCGUUAUUACUUUCAGAUUUUAUAUUUGGAUAUAAAAAUGGUCUAACUUGAUAUGGACAAUUAAAAAUUGUAGAAAAUUAUUAAUUUUUCUGCUACAUUGAUAUACUGUAUUAAAAGUAAUUUUAUGAUAUCACUGAUAUAAAAAAAUUAUUACUAAAAUUUAAGCAGAUUGAGUAAUUUGUAAUCAACUUAAAAACCUAAAAUAAUUAGACCGGUUACAUCUCAUAAGGUAGUUAAUGUGGUGGAAUAAAAAAUUAUGAAAAUAAUUUUACAAAAAAAACUGUACUUUUUAAAUUAAUAAAAUUUUAGCUAUUUAAUUUUAAAAGAUUCUAUUAUGAUGUGAUGUGGUUUUCCUUAUUUCUUACGUGAACAAUACACAAAUAAUAGCUGUUGAAUAUGUGAACAAAUAAUAUGAAUCACCUUCUGAAAUAGUUUCUCAAUCUCUGUAUAAGUUCACUAGCGCAAAUUCAACUUCUUGUGAGUAUUCUACAACUGCUACCUGUGCUCAUCUUUUAGCGUUCAUGACAUUUGCUACCAUUGGGAAAAGCUAACACUUUGAAGGGGUAUAAAGUUUUAAUAGAUUUUGAAUCUUCUUGUACAAGACAGUAUUAUGAAGAUCCCUGCAACAUGAUGGACUACUAUUGUUUGUCAUAUCGUGCUCUUUGAUUUCCAAACGUGAAAAUUUUGCUAGACAAUCAAUGGGUAUUAAAAUUGAUGGAUGCAGGUUACACUUUAGGAGUCACUCUGCACAUGUAGACACUUGCUGACUUCUUUAAAGUUUUUAAAAGUGGACUUAAGUUGGCCUGGUAAGUGUUCAAACAUAAAUGCAGAUGUUUAGAGUAUUUAAAAGCGUUUUGAUCAAUUUCAAAACGUUAGUUGGUAGUUCAAGAGACUUGCAACUAGAUAGCAUUGUGAUGUUUCCAAUUACAAGCAAUGCAUCAUCGAGGAUCGUGUGGUCCAUGCAUCCAACCAUGGAGUCAGGACGUCCGGAAAGCGCGCAAUUUGAAAGCAAAAACAAUGGAUGCUCAUUUAAGCAUCUUGGCAAUUUUCGCUCCUAUGGUACGGUCCUCGCCAAUUAGGUGCGCGGCCUGCUAUGCUCUGAUUGCAAAGUCAUAUUUAAGUUGAGUUCCAGACAACCUGAAGGCUAAUGGAAGUGCUCUAGUUCGAAACUGCCCAAAGGUUUUGUAGGAACUACAAAGUCCUGCAAGGAACCAACUUACAACGAACAGACGAUAAGCACUUGACUUGUCUACGAUUUUCCGAUAUUCCAAAUUGAAGUGAAGGGUAGGGCAAGUUGAUGCGUGGUGCACAGACAUACCAGGCUGUCAUUCAUACAAAUCGUCUUUACGAUAUGCAGCUAUUAACUAGGAGCCAGGCAUCGUAUUGAGUUGGUGCGAGGUUCUGCAAACCAAGAGCGCGCCAAUCAACAUUCUCCAGCGGACAGAUGAAACCUGCAGGUUUUUAAGGUGUGAAGUUUCCAAGAGCCGUUAUUGUAAACCACGGUCGACCAUCAGCAGUAGGGUGAAGGAUUUCCUUCAGGUCAGUGCAAGUCCAAAAAGUUAGCAGCCAUACAACCUGUAGGGGACAGAACCAACAUUUUAGGUGAGGGCAAGUGGAUCAACCAAAACAUCCAGUUUCGAUGAAGUGGUCGACAAGAAUUCCACAUUAGCCGUUUUAAAUCAAAUUAUGCAUAUUAUACCUAUCAUAAUUCUCUAACAUUACGUGAUCCAUUCCAGCUAAGCUGCUCAAGUAAAGAUUCAAUCAUUCUAACACAAAAUGCCCUCGUCAGCCCCGAGGGGUACAAUGAUUGAUCAGAUUUGCUCGCUAAUUGCUAUCUGAAUAACAGAGGAUUAAAACCCGCAGCUACAACUAAAAUAUUUAUUAAAAGGGGGAAGGUCUAUCAUAUCAUGUAUGUUGUUAACCCAAUACAUUUUAAAAGGGUAUCAACAAAACAAAGAGGGCUUCUCAGUCAAAUCAUUAUCAUUCGGGCUUUGAGCUAAGAAUUGUUCAAUCUCUUCUAUUUCUUUGGGAGCUUCGGCCGUGAGUAUCUGCAUACAACCAAGUUCACAACAACAACUAUAGUCAAACUGAUAGAAAUUAAACAGCGUGAAAAAGAUACGAGGAUAGCAUCAAAAUACAAUGAAACUCUCUCGAAGAGCGAUGCAGUCCUAAUACUAUCGCCAACCUAGGCCAAAUCGGAUUACACCUACUCCAGAAGUCAGUCAGUAUGUUUCCAUGGAGACGCUUACCUCGUAGCCUGUGGCUGUAAUAAGUACUUCGUCUUCUAUUCUUAUUCCAAUGCCUCGGAACCUGCAGGUAGUCAAGCCUGGGUAAGUCUUACAACCUUGAUUCCUGAAAUACACAAUGCAUAACCAGUACAAGCCUUUUGCCACUGAUCUAUUAAAAAAUUAACCGAAGAGUUCGUAUUCUGUGACAGUACAAAUAACAACUACGUAGAUCAAUAAAUCAAUACGUUGAUACUUCAAUGUAAAUUCUGAUAUGGCUUGUACAGUCAUACUUUUCAGGUAUCGUCUGCUUGGCAGGUAUAUAGAGCCCAGGUUCAAUGGUGAUCACCUACUCAAGUGUAUACCACAUUCACGCAUAAGAAUUCACAGUUCAAUAUGAGAAGCAAACAAGAUGUUCAGAUUAUGAUCAUGAGAUUGAAAGAAAAAGUUGAAAGACUGAUUUCAACGUUGCAAACGAAGCAAGAAAAUAUAAAAGAAUGUGAUUGAUCUUAGUUACUCACCACACCAGGCUGGAGGGGUCGAUCUAAGCUAACAGUUGAGCAAUCAUGCACAUCCAUACCUAGGUAAUGUCCUACAACCAACAAAUUGUCAAUGAUAUACCACUACUUAGGUUGUGCAUCGCUAGUCUCAGAUGCUGUAAAGGAGAUGAAUUGCACAAGUUUGUACAGGAGAAGCAAGUUACCAAUUUGUGUUCUAUUGAAGCUGUAAAACUUAAAUAAAUCAAAUGGGCCUGUUACUAGACCCAACUUCAAUAAACCUUCCCAAAGCAACGCCACCUGCAAUGAAGAAUAAGGAGAGGUAUAUGUUAAUUAUUGAGCUCAAUCUGAUAACUGUAGGUAAUUGAGGAAAAAAAAUAAAAAUAAAAAUAAUCUAUAAGUUGUCAUCGCAUCUAUUCUCAGUAUCUCAACAAGAAAUUAUAGUUUCUACAUUCAGCAUAAAGCUGGUUGACGAAUGGUGGCGCCAUGUGCAUUACAGAAUCUUCUUCAAGAUGCAGCAAAUAGCAUGUAAGGUAGAAAUUACAGAGCGAGAGUGUAUUUGAGAUAAGGUCACGCCAGGCCGGCACAUCUUGAAACAUUCCUUCAUUACAUCAAGUAUGAUGGUGUAAACUUGUUUCUGAGCUCAUCAGGAGAGAUAAACGUCAGAAGCUAUCCUGAUGAUUGAUUCGCUUCAAGACACCAAACCGAAAAAGAAGAAAAGAACAGAAAAAUACAUAUAUAGUAAAAUAAAACAGAAUAACCAACAUGAGUGAAAGGAAGAAGAACAAGACGCCACAUCCGAGAUGUCUGUAUGAGAAAAGGGUUUCUCAGGAUGUUACCUUGGCGUCGGUAAAAUAGCCACAAGGAGGCCAGGUACGAGUCAUGUCACUAACAUAGCCAUGAUAUUCGCAGCCCACGUCCAUGAGCACCAAAGCUUCAUUAUCAAUCUGGUUUAACCAGUACCAGAGUUAGCUCUCAAAGUCAAAUCCAUAGUUACAGGCAGUCUUUUGGUGGCUAACCAAAUGAUAGCAGCUCAACCAAUAUUGCGCUUUGACAGCUUUCUCCAUAUCAAUUCCUAAGAAUCACGUAUUGAGAAUACCAUGAGCACCACUCUAGGUGCUUAAGUGGUUACAACUAUCAAGAAUCGAACUUGAAUACCGCCAUUCAGUGCAAUUAUCUCCGUAUCAUAAGCUCCAAUGGCUCACUUUUUUAUCGUGUCGGGAGUAGUGAACAAUGCUGCCAUUCGCUCCCCCACCCACAACUGAUGGAAACCUGUUCAUCAAAAUGAGUUUUAAUCUCUUCCAUCUAAGUUAAAGCUUCCAAUAUGUUGAACAUACUAUAAAAUACAUUUGUCAAGCUUAAGAGGCCAAUGCAAACUUCUUACGCCAUUUGUUGGGCUCCUCGACGUUUGCACUCAUACUCAACAGUAGCUGCCAAUAAGUGUUCAUGUUGCCAGGCUCUUGAAGCUUGCAUACUCCGCUUUACUGCCUGUCCACCCAGGUGUAGAUAUAAGCUCAGUGCAUUCACAGGCUCCACAGACCUUCAUGGCCAUUGAAAUUUUGAUGCACGUAUUGAAUUUACUGCCUGUCAACCUUUCGGUUACCAAUCAGCCCUCUAAUUGCAUAUAUCUUUUCUAUGCUUGAUGUUGCAACUUACAUUUGGUAAUAUUAUGAUGAAUAGAUACGAACCUUGCAAGUGAUGGAUGCCGCUUCUCGCAUAAGGUUGAGCUCUGAGGGUGAUUUAACCCAACGCUGUUGAUGAGAAUACCUGUUCAGGCUGCGCACUCUGCCCUGCUGUAAGGCACUUUGAAAAGCUUCUAACUCUGCCACUACAGGUGUAAGCGACCCCAAAUCACAGAACACUGUUUUUGCACGUCGAAUAAUAUCUGGUAAAACCUGUAGAGCGAAAGAAUAUCGUAUCAGAGCUAGCAUUUUCAACGCAACUCCUAUGUUUUCAGACAAAUAUAGGGGUGGUACAUUGUCAGUUAGCUUAUGCAAAUGUAAAAGAGAAUCCCUCACAGAAAUACCUUCCGAAGACGUCGCAAUGAAUGAGUGACAUCUGCUCCGAAGACACGACUAGCCUCAUCAGGUCCUGCUAAUUUUCCAUUCCAGGUUUCCCUCUGUGCGAAGGCUGUAAUUAGAUCGCGAAGUAUGUAUAAAUCAAGCACCUCAUUGCAAUCUCAAUGCAACUGGAACCAUAAAGAUUCAUCCAUAGAAAGAGCAGCUGUCACGCAUACAUGCUCCUAUAAUUUGUAAAGAAAACUCUCAAACCGCUCCUCAAAGCUAGUCUUAAUUUUGAAAUCCACUUACUUGAAGUAAAACCAGGGCACACGUGAAUCUACACGAUCAAAUACAGGAGUACUUACUUCAGGAUCCCAGUUGGGCAUAAACAUGCACAAAUCUGCAUCAUCAUACAGAACUGCAAUUCCUUCUGGCUGCUGAGAGCCUGUAUAGUAAAGAUAGUCCGCAUCUUGUCGAAAUGGAUACGGAACAACAUCUGUCAUUUGUUUGACAGAAGCAGCUGACAAUAUGACCAUGCUCUCUGUGGGUAAACGAGACCGAAGUGCUGUUCUUCUUUCCUUGAAAUCUCGAAGACUAAUGCCGGGAAACAGCUCAUCCCCUGACAGCAUCUGCCACCUUUAUGCAGAUUAACAUCACUUUCCAGCAUUGCACAAAUUCGUUACCUGAAACUUCCAAAAUGCCAGAACAGAUUCUCCGCUUCCAUCAUUCAGACCCACGCAAAGAGGCAUACCUGAGGGUGCGAUUCAGACGUAGGCUGCCCCGCAUCGUAGGGAGCCGUCCAUGGUUGAGAAUACCAUCGCCUGGUAGCAAAAUACUGGCCAUUUUCGUGACCAAUUUUCUGUGUCUGCAGACGUGUAUGGAUUAAGUCGCGAUUACAAUACAACUCUUGGCAUUGUGUGUGAUGAGCCAGCAACGAAUGGUGACCCUAAAAAGAGUAAAAACAUCUUCGCUGUGCCUUGACAAGCGAGUUUGAUAGGGCAACAUGUUGCCCGAUUUGGAUCAAACCACAAACUAAUGAUUUGCUUACCGAAGAGACUUCCCUGCAACACAAUCUCCAAGACACUGGAACCAAACUCCUCCAAGCAGCCAUCCUUGCCAGCAUAUGACCGAAUUUGCCACUCAAAAGUCGUUCAACCUCCUUACACGACUUCAUUCGCAUCCAAACACCUUCCUCCCCAUCGAGCCUCUGGAGCAACCAAUUGACAGUCCAAGCAGCAAUUCAGCGGACUUCAUCUGCUAAGCCGACCUAAACGAAAAUAACGAACUUAUUUCAGGUCGAACCCGCAUUCCUCACGCUCCUUGAGCUCUCUCUGUUGAUUGCUCCAGACAACGAAUGAUCGGAAAAAGGUUUAAGAAUUGCCGAUCUCUCUCUCCCGCUCUCUCUCUCGCUCUCUCUCUCUCUUCCUCCCUCUCACUUUCGUAAUAAAUGUUGGUCCAAGACGGUGGAGACCAUCUACAAUCAACUUUUUCCACCAACUUCUAUACAAAACCCAGCAUUCUCUCACAAAAUUAUGUCAUGUUACGAGCUCGCGGUUCUUACAAGCUUCGACAAAAUUGUAACAACAAAUUUCAAACGCGAGUACAACUUCAACAAGUAGGGGUGUAAUAUUCACACCGCAAAACUGCGCCGACCGGUGUCCCUCGGAAUUUGGGUUUUGGCACUCCCUCGUCGCCGCGAACGACGGUGACAAGUGCCGGACGAAACAAGAGGACGAACACUUUCGAUGGUCAAGGAGUAAACUUCUCAGUUCCUCACCGACCCAAUUCUAGCCCCCACUCAACCCCACAGCUUCUCCGGAAUUCCAGGGACGGAAAAGUCGAGUGGUCAAGAUCAGUUGCAGAUGCAUUUAAAAGCCGCCCAAGCAGAGUACCAGUAUUUUCAGAAAUACGUUCAAGAACAUAAGUCCUUUGAUAAGUUGGUGGAAAUUCAUCACGCAAAUGCACAACAAUCCGUUAUCGACUUCCAAUCCAUACCUAUUCCACCUUGACAAAAGAAAAAAAAAAAAAAAAAAAAAAAAAGAUAAAAAAAAAGGAAAAAAAAGCACUACACGAUGUAAAAGAAAAAUUAAAUAAACAGUAACUCCAAAUUGGCUCGAAAAAUCCGAAACCAUCUCGAAACAAUCCAGUGAAUUUUAAAUCAAAAGUAAUGCAGGAUUAACUAAAGAGUUGACUACAGAACAAAUAGCACUUAAUCCAUAGAAUACACAUUUUCAUAAAAUACAGAACUUGAUACAAAACUACAAUUUAACUUACCAUGGACAGAUGCAGAAAAACGACAAGAGUCAUCCCACAGGGAACAUGUUAAACAUCCCUCUCGAGUGUCGCAACUACUGAGAAUUACGAACACGACUCCGUGCAUCUCAGCCACGCAUGUAUUCUUAUACAGUUCAGUGCAAUUUUCAGUUCCUCCCUGCCCGUACUCUCGGACUUGCACUCGUCAAAUCCUUUGUUCCCAUCAAAAGAUACGAACCCAUAUCGUGGGCACAACGUGCACAAAACAGAGACAAUUUACUGAAAAACCACCGAUGUAAACCAAAACGCACAAAGAGCAGAGGUGGAAGGGGGUGAAGCAAACGAUUGCAACACACAAACACAGACGAGUUCUGAUUGGCUUGUGAGCAUGAGGUGGACAAGGCAUGCACACAGAUUUGGAAGGGAAGCAAAUGGGGUAAUCAGCCUUGAGGGGUGGUGGGUGUGUUGAAGUGGGCACAGAUUCCAUAUUCCGCGGUGGUGGCAUUGAUUCCAGAUUCCAGACGGGGCAAAGAAAGGAAAUAAACAGAAGAAAGGGAAAGGAAAGAAAAGAAAAGAAAAAGAAGAAGAGAAAUAUAAAGGGCGCCAAUUAUAGGGUGCCUUUCUGGGCGAGAAGGGCAGGCGGUCAUCGGUCAACGCAGGGGAACACAAAAACAGCGAGCAGCGAGGAAGAGGCGACGAAGGCGACACAGGGAUGACGACGACGACGAGAAGGAGGACGCAGAAGAAGAAGAGCGGCGGGGGGGGGUGGUCGUGGACUCCCUAAGGAAGGAAGGAAGAGGAAGCUGCCACAUGAAAACCAAAGCUUCUUUCCUCCUCCAUGAAGAAUGGAACAGACUCUCUCUGCAGGAAAAACUCAACCCCACUCGCUCGCUCCCUCACUCACUCACUCACUCACUCACUCUGUCUGCUGUUUCUCAUUCGUGUCCCACGCUCUCUUGCUCUUGUUCUCGCUCUCGCUCUCACUCGUCGUCGCUACGCCUGCCCUUCCCCCUCCCCCUCCCGUGUCUAUCCCGCAAUCCUUAGCGCUUCCUCCCUUCUCGCCACACCCCCUCUUUUUCUUUCUCUUUCUCUCUCUACUUCCUGCUUCCGCUCUUCCGUUUCUUCUCAUCUGCUCUCUUCCCUCUUCGAUGCCAUGCUGCUUGCCCGCGUCUUUUCGGUUGGAAGUGAAGAAUGAUGCCGCAGUUUGGGGUUUGAGGCUGGUUUCGGUGGUGGCUGCUUAGUAUUCAAGGAUGAUUGUGGGUGAUGCCGCCAGGGGAUGGUUUCUUUCGAGGAAGAGGGGAGGUGUAGAUCGGUGCAGGGUUAUGCAGCAAGAAUAUAUUCGAUUUGGGCCGCGUGAUGCAAUGCUUGAGGAUAGGUAGAACACGAAGCGGGGGAUGUGACCUUUGAUUGCGUGCAGGAGCGGGUGACGUUCUGAUGGGCGAGGACGGAGGAAUUGCAGAGUGCGCGGAGUGGAAGGAAUAAUCGGCGCGGAUAUUGGGAGUUGGCAACCCUAAGAGAGGUUGAAGCGGCAAUUUGUGUGGGUGAUGACGAAGCAGUGACGGCACGAAGAUGGUGCAUGCGCGGUGCGCAUGCAAAUGACACAGAUCAUCGGAGGAGCAGCUGAUGACAUGUCCAACAAGCGGCGGCGCAAUGUCAAUGUGGCGGUGGACGAUCAGGAGCAGCAGCAGGCUGUUGUAUAUAAGAAAGCCAGGAUAACAUCGUCGCCGACAUCGUCGGCGGCGUCCACUUGUGGUGCACCGGCGGUGCCGGCUACAGAAUCAGGUGUUGAAAGUGACGCGGGUCGCGAUGCGCAUUGGACAAGUCUUCCAGAUGAAACCGUGCUUGGGUUGUUUAAUCUGCUGAACCACAGGGACAGGGCGAGCCUUGCGUCCGUGUGCAAGGGAUGGCAGGUGCUGGGGAGCUCGCCAUCGCUGUGGAAUUCGCUGGAUCUUCGGUCGCACUCGUUGAAUUCGGAGAUGGUGUCUGCGCUGGCAGGACGAUGCUCGAAUUUGGAGGCGCUGAAGUUCCGCAGAGGUGCCUCUGCGAGCUCAAUUGUGGGGUUGCAGGCGAAGGGGCUUAGGGAGCUGAGCGGCGAUUGCUGCAGCCAGCUGUCGGAUGCAACCCUGUCCAUGGUGGUCGCCCGGCAUGCGAACCUGGAGAGCUUGCUGCUGGGUUCGGAUUGCGAGAGAGUGACGAGCGAGGCAUUGAAGGUGAUUGCAGUGUGUUGUCCGAAAUUGCGACGGCUGUGCGUGUCGGGCGUCCUAAAAGUGGAGAGAGACGCCAUCCAGGCGUUGUUCCAGCAUUGCAAGGGUCUGACGGAGCUGGGGUUCCUGGACAGUCACACCAUCGACGAAGGGGCGUUCGGGGGUGCGAGCAGCCUGCGAUUUUUGUCGGUAGCGGGAUGCAGGUGUAUAGUGUGGAGCACGGCGGCGCAUUGGUGGAGCAAAUUGCCGAACCUGGCAGGGCUGGAUGUUUCGCGGACAGAUAUCACUCCGACUGCGCUGAUGCAGGUCCUGGCAGGGCCCGAGCUGAGGGUGGUUUGCGCUCUGAACUGCCCUGUUCUGGAGGAGGGCAGCAACCCCGUGACACUGCCGUCGUCGAAGAAGACGGUGGUGCUGGCUCGGUUCACGGAUGUGAUGGAAGGGUUGGAUGCUUUGCUGAGCCCGAGCAAUUGGAAGGAGGAGGCAGGCUCGUGCGCGAGGUCGAGGUGCGGCGGGCGCGCGCGCGCGGAUUCGGAAGUGGCGAAGUGGACGGAGUGGAUGUUGUCGCAUGCGGUUUUGAAGAUCGCGGAGUGCAAUGCACCGAGUCUGCUGAAGCAGGGGAUCGCGAUGAUGCUUCGACUGGUUCAAAGCGCGCAGGAGGAUGUACAGGAGAGGGCUGCGUCGGCUUUGGCGACGUUUGUAGUGGUGGACGACGAGAACGCGACUGUAGAUUCUGCGCGGGCGGAAGCUGUGAUGAACGGGGGCGGGAUCGCGCUGCUGUUGGGGCUGGCGAAGUCUUGCCGCGAGGGGGUGCAGUCGGAAGCUGCGAAGGUAGGGGGGUUGGUGGGGAAUGUAGUGGAGUGUGAGUGUGCACAAGGCAGGCGUGUGCGCAGGAAGGAUUGUAGGGUAGCGGGGGUAUUGCGUGAGUUGUGGAGCGUGGGGUGGAGCAGGGUCGGGGGAGAGCAGGUGGACGACGAUGGUGGUAUUUGCGGAAUGGGUUGAUGUUUGUGGGAGUGUGGGUCGCAUGCGGGCACAGUGCGUGUGGGGUGCAGAAGCUGUGGGGAGUUGGAUUGACUGGUAGCUGUUGGGUUGGUUGGUGCAGGCCAUCGCAAAUUUGUCCGUGAACACGGAGGUUGCGAAAAGGGUUGCUUUGGAAGGAGGCAUCAGUAUCCUGGCUGGUUUGGCGAGGUCCCGGAACCGGUGGGUUGCUGAGGAGGCGGCCGGGGGUUUAUGGAAUCUGUCGGUGGGAGAGGAGCACAAGGUGAGGCGCUGUGGUUGGCAAUUGCGAUGAAGUGUUUUGCUGNNNNNNNNNNNNNNNNNNNNNNNNNNNNNNNNNNNNNNNNNNNNNNNNNNNNNNNNNNNNNNNNNNNNNNNNNNNNNNNNNNNNNNNNNNNNNNNNNNNNCCUGCCCUGCCCUGUCCGUCCCCUGCGUCGUCCCUCUCUUUGCCCUUCUUCUCGCUCGUCGUCUGACCCCCUUCCUUCGUCUUCUUCCCUCCCUCUUUUAUCCCGUCCACAUACCAUGGCCGUUGCCGCGUCACACCGCGGCACCCACCAACUGUGCCUAUCCUUGGGCUGCUGGUGAUUCACGACGUGGGCACCACCGUUCGCUACCCGGGCAAUGCCCAUGCUGGGCCAUGGCUGCCAUGUCUCCUGCUUCGUGUCGGUAAGAGGAGGUACACGUGGCGAUUUUGCAGUGUGUGAUUGGUCUCCUAGGCAUGGUAUGUAUUUAGGAGUCUAAGCUGUUGUAUUUUCAAAGGUGGUUUUCUGUGCUGUCAACUUUCGUGUUUACUUUCAAUUGAGCAAGGAAUUGUUUCAAUAAAUUAACAUCUGUAACAAGCUGAGGAUGCAACUGUUAUUGGGCUCUUAUUUAGGCUUUGUGCCUGAACUACCAUUAAGCCUAAAUAAGAGCCCUUUGGAAGUGCCGGUUUAAGAUUAUUUGGGACUUUCAGGAAAGUCAUGAUUUCAGUUUGUGCUUGUGAAGUAUUUUUAGUUUGGUGCUUGUAAUGUGGAAAUACCUUAAACUAUAUCAUGCAUGUAACCAGCUCAUAGACCUUGUUAGAAGCCGCACUUGCACAAAUCCAAAAACUACCAUUUUUCCUAUAAAAAGAUUCCAAAUCCAUCCCAAGUCCACCAAUGAUUGGCAAAAUUUACAAGGAUGAAGUUAGUGGUUUAAUGUGAUGGAGAUGGUAGUAUAGUAUAUUUUUAUGGAUGGUUUUGGCCAAGUCCAUGCAUUGGUUCAAGGGUUCAAAGUGUAAAGUUCUUUGAAAUUUUAUAUCAAUUAAACCAUUUGUAAUUUAUUCUUUUGGAGCUCAUCACAAUUUUAUUUUUUUACUAAAAAAAAAUCCAAAAAAAACCCCCCUAAGAUAGUUGAAAAACCUCAAGUUGUUCCUUUAAGGUAUUUUGAUGUUAUGUAGUAAAUAUCACAUAGGAAAUAUCAUGAAAUCAAAUCAAUUCUUUCUUUUAAGCAUUAAAUUUUCUAUCUACAUUCUUUUUAAAAAUCUAAACCAAAAAAAAAUGAUAUUUUUGUCAAAAUUGCAUCUUUUCUUAUUUAAUUCAAUACUAUUAUCUUCUUUAAGAAUAAUGUAUUGGUAAUUUUUUUAUUUAGUUUUUAUAAAUUUUUAAAAGAAAAAAAAAUACAAUUAUUUAACUUUGAAAAUGCUUAUUUGCAUAGCUUGAGUAGUCUGACUUAUAUACACUUUUUUUGAAGAACUACUUGUGUUUGUAGUUGAACUGUUAGUCUAGUAUAUCUUAUUGUUAUUAGAUUCUUUCCAAUUUUAUUAUAAGAGUGAAUAGUUUUGGUAUUAUAACAAAGUAAUUAUAUCUUGUUACUAAAGUUAAAUUAAUGUUGUUCUUAUAAUAGGCAUCCAUAUUGAUUUUUUUUCGUUCUUGAGCUUUUUUUUACUUAUGCCUUCAUUGCUGCAUAUAUCUUUGAUAAAAAAUAUGCCAAAUUUUUUGCUGUAGGAUUUUUAACUUUUAAAAAGUCAAAAGUAUUAAAUUGUAGAUGAAAACCGUAAUUAGCUUAAAAAGGUGUUUAUAGAAUAGACUAGUAUGCCAUAUAUAAAAUAUAAAAUACUCAAGAUUCUUAUGACUUUUAAAUAACAAGUGACAAUAUAAUUAAGAAAUUCUUUAAAAAUAUUAUUAAUUAGAUGUUCCAAAGUAAUUAGUGCAUUUAAAAGUUCAAAAGACAUGGCAUUAUAUUUGAAAUGUCUAUACCUAAUUCAAAAUUCAAUCUUCCAUUCAUCUCUAUUUUUUAUGCAUAUCAAGUUAUAUUUUUAUAUAGAUCUUUACUUGAUUCAAUUAAUUAAGAAGUCUUGAAAUUAAAAGUUUAUAUAUAUAUAUAUAUAUAUAUAUAUAUAUAUAUAUAUACAUAUAUUAUAGUGAUGUUAUUAAAUUUUUCAUAGUCUACAUAUAUUUAGAGUUAUUUAUUUAUUUAUUUUUGUAAAUAAAAUAAGAAUUCAUGUUGAAAAUUUAAAAUAGGCUAUGAAGUUUUUAAUCAAGUUUUUGUCAAUAUACUUAUUAAGUAUAACCAAUUAGUUCUACAAUAAGCUAUAGAUUGGUCUAAAUGGUAGUUGAAAAACUUUUUGAAGAUUAAUUGAAUAAUCAUGUAGAUAAUGCUCUGAAAGAAUAUUUGCAUUAAUUUUGUCAAAAAUAUCUUGAUAAACUUGAUAUUUUCUUAGAGUGCAACUUAAAAUCUUUCUACUAUGAAAAAUAAGUAUGGUUUAUAUAGCAAAAGAUGUCCCUUCUUUUGUAGCAUAUAUGAAAGUUCUUACAUCUAUCAAUAAGGGUUUGGUUGUAUUAAAUUUAUGGAUUUUUACUUGACUAUCAAAAUUUUGGAUUAAGCUUUAAAAAAGUCAAAGUUACAAGAAAUUUAAUCUAUUUGCGAUUUAUAUAUUUUUUUUAACUAUAAUAGUUUUAAAAUAACUAAAUUAAAGAGAAAUUUAAUGAUAUUAAAUAUUACUAAGCUAUUAUGAUCUUUAAUUUCUACAUUAAAAAAAAUAUCAUAAAUAAUAUUUGUGAAGAAGAGUAAACAACCAUCUAUGACUUUUGCAUGUAUAUGUUUAUUUUUUUUAAUUAAAGAUAUUUCUCAAUUUUUAAAAAAAUCUUUAUUUUUGAAAUAAAGUGAGGCUCUUCAAUCUAACAAGGCAAAGAUUUUGUGAUUUUUUGGUUCUAAACAAACUUCUAUUGUAAAAUAAGGUAAGGGAUUUAAGAAGAGAAUAAGACUUGUAUUAGAUAUUGCACAAGAUUCCAACCACAAAGUCUAUAUUAUAGCUAGAAAUACUUCUUUUUUAUAAUACAUUAUUAUCAUUAGCAAUCAUACUCUUUAUUUUAUAAUUAUAUUAUUUUUUUGAAUAAUAUUGAGAAAUGUGCUUAAGUUCUUUACAAUAUCAUUAUAAUUAUUCUUAACAAUGUUGAGUUUUUAUUUUUUUGCAUAGUAUAAAACUUAAAACAUAUUAUAUCAAUUUGCAUAAAUUUUGGUCUUGAUAAAUAAACUUCUCUUAACUUAGAAAUUAUUUCCAUAACUUGACUUGUAUCUCUCUAAUUAAAUCUUUGUUCUUGGUAUUUUUUAAAGAAUUUAUUGUAGCAUGUAAUGACUUCAAUAAUAAAUUACUCCAAUGAAUUUGCUUUUAGCAUUGUUAAUAAUAAAUCUUUAAUAUUAACUUUCAAUUCAUAUCAAAAUUAAUUGAUAAAGGCUUUACUAUUCCAAUCCAUGUUAUAAGCAUGGAUUUAGAUUUCAACAAUAAGAAUGAAGAAGGCUUUACUCUUGACUCCAUAUAUAUAUAUAUAUAUAUAUAUAUAUAUAUAUAUAUAUAUAUAUACUAUCUAACUAGGAGAUACAUGGUGAUAUUCUAUGGGACCUCUAACAUGUAUCCAACUUAUAAGAUACAUGUCUAACUUAUAAGACAAGUUUUUUAUAUGUAUGCUACAUAGUUAGCUUAUACCACAAGCUACCAAUACAUGUGAUACUUGACUAACUUUUUAGACAAACUUCUAACCUACUAAUCAACUACAAACAUGAUUAAAGUCAAAUUUGCAUAUAUGAAGCUUCUAAGAAGCUAUGCCAUAAGAUAUAAUUAUAUAUAUAUAUAUAUAUAUAUAUAUAUAUUUAUUAUCUAUCGAAUAAUUUAUUUUUAGAUAAUUAAAUAUGAUUGUGAUAGUUGCUUCUCUUGAUUUUUUAAUCUCCUUCAAUAAUAUCCACUCUUCUAUCAUAAACAUCUUUAAUUCUUUCUCAAUUUUCUCUUUUAAUCUUUUGUCUUCAUUUUUUUUUCCACUUCAAAAUUAUUAUUAUAAGAAUCAUUAUUCAUAGAAGCUCAUAGACUUGGAAAAAAUUUACUUGUCAUUUAACCAUAAUUGAGCACAAAGGCAAUAUUAAUAUUCCAACAUACAUAGUUUAUCAACCUCAAAAAACCUAUAUCAACAUCUUAAAAAUAAUCACAAUAAUUUGAAGACAAUCCUAGCAAAACAACCUCAUAAGAAUCUAUACAAGCAAUCUCCUCCUCAUGUCUCUCACAUGAUCUAUUUGAGCAUACAAGACCACUUAUACUAUCAAAUUUUUCCUUUUUCGUAGCAAAAUAAAAUCGUAACACCUAAUACAAUAGAUUAAAGCUUGAAUAUUCAAAGUUGUCUAAACACAAACUUUUCAAUACAAUUGGAACUACAAAAAUAUAAAUUUUAUACAACUCUAUUAAUACACAAUUCAUCCAUGGCCAUACUUUUUAAAACCUAGAAUAUAAAUAUAAUUUCAUCUUUUAUGUAACAUACCUUAGUGUGCAAAUUCACCUAUUUUCUUUUUGUAUAAAGGUGACUUGUCUUAGUAAACACAAUAGUACACCCUCAAAAAUAAGUAGUGCCACUUCUUUGUCUCUUGUCAAUGUAAUUCUUCCUUAUAAAUAUCAUAGCACUUCUAAAAAACUAAUGCUACAUGUUAUUGUACCUUCUUUAGUAAAGUGACAAAAUAUGAAAAGUAAUCCAAAUUGUUUCUUCAUCAAUCUAUAUCUUCACCAUCUUUUUUUUGAAUUGAUAAAAAUAAAAAAUAUAGAGAUGUCUAAUAUUUACCAUAGUAAAAAUCUUAUGCUAUUUCAAACACUAUUUUUGCCACUUUUCUUUGAUGUGAAGUUUGCAUCAAGAUAAGAUAUUGGAAAUAUAAUAAUAUCUUUGUUAUUCCUUUCUAUUCAUCUAUGGAUAAAAACUAUAAUUAGAUCCAUGUCAUACUAUUAUUUUGAGAUCUAAAAAUAAAAGAUCUCAACUAGUAUAUUUAUAUUUUGUAUUAUUUAUAAUAAUAAUGAGUUGAGUAUAUAUUAUUUUUAUAUAUUCCUUAAAAUCUUUUCUUUGAUUCAUCUUGUUUAUUUCUUCAAAAUUAUCUUUUCACCUUUGUUUCAUGUUUACGUUGUACCAUCUACCAAAUUUAUAGACAAUAUAUAUGAAUAUGAUAGACUUAAUUCUAAUUUUAAAAAAUAUUAUAAUCUUAGUAGGUUGGCAGCUAAUUCGUGCAUAAUUGCCUUAAUAUCUUGUCAAUACCAUACUCAAGAGCACAACUUAGACAAUAAUUCUAUCAAUAAGUAAAGAUUUUUCAUCUAUUUACAAUAAUUUUUAUUAAGAAUUUAUUUCUAUGAAUAUGAUAAUUAACAAGAUUCAAUCAAUAGUAAUGCUUGUGUUUUUCUAUGCAAAACAAAGCUUCUGCAUGCUUGUAUCUCCAAGCCUCUUUAUGAAAGAUCAAUUCCUUGAAUUAUUAUUGAUCCAUAACUUAUUGAUACAUAUGCUUGAGUUCCGUCUACAAAUGUAACAUCUAUAUAUCUAGCAUUAUUAAUCCUAUCUAUGACAUUUUUUGACAAUUUCUACUACUCUCUAAUUACACUUCAUUCUAAAACCUUACAUCUCUAAUUUUGUUCCAACUACCAAAAUCAAACUUUAUAAAUUGUGAAAUAAAGUAAACCUCCACUAGUUGGAAGUCUAUCCUAAUUCACAAAAAUUUAAUUAUCUAAGGAAUGUAAUAAAUUCCAAUUAGUAUUUGAUUUAUAUCCAACAAUUCUAAUAGUUCUCUAAUUGACAUUUAAAUAAAUUUUUCUAAUAGGUGAUCUAUUCUAAUUCACAACUAUUAAUUAACUUAUAAUUUGAUUACUUAAGUUGUUUUUUAUUUCAUCUUAAAUUCUUAAUCCUCUUAACUUAGUUAAAAACCACUCACACACUCACAACACAAGGCAUUCAAUUAACUCAAAAACCACAUACUUGAAAGAUAAUUUUUUAAUAUGAUUCAAUUUUAACUUCAUAUGUUUUUUAAUUUUAUUUUUAACUAAUAUUAAUGAUCAUCUAAAAUUCAUAAUCAUCUAAAUUUUUAUUCAAUUAAUAGUUAUCAAAUUUUCAUCCAAUUAAUAGUUAUCAAAUUUUCAUCCAAUUAAUAGUUAUCAAAUUUUCAUCCAAUUAAUAGUUAUCAAAUUUUCAUCCAAUUAAUAGUUAUCAAAUUUUCUUCCAAUUAAUAGUUAUCAAAUUUUCAUCCAAUUAAUAAUUAUCAAAUUUUCAUCCAAUUAAUAGUUAUCAAAUUUUCAUCCAAUUAAUAGUUAUCAAAUUUUCAUCCAAUUAGAAAGAUCAUCCAUUCAAGACCUAACGUCAUCUAUCUUAACCUAAUUCGUCCAUAUCCCUAAUUGUUUUGUCAAUUACAAAUUUUGGCUCAAGUUGAUUUGAUAAAUGUAAUUCAAUUAACAAUCGAUAAAUAACAAUUUUUAAUUCAAAACCUGUGAGAUGCGAUUCCCUUCUGCAAGCUUCACGCUCCCUCUGUGACUUCUUGCUGAUCUUCUCUAAUGUCGAAACCAGGUGAUGAAAUCCUCAAAAACUGAUCAAAGCUGCCACGAUUAGACUUCUAUGAUAGUACUUCUAAACUUGUAUUCCGGUUGAAAGACUAGCAAUUCUUGAGAUUGGUAUAUCACAACGUCGAAGAAGAAGGAAAUUACUCCUCACGAGAACAUUUGGACUAAAUGCGCAAGUACUCGGCAGCAAGAGAAAUCACCCCAUGACACUUAUGUGAUUGUCGAUGUUCACGAAUUAAUUGGACGUUGCCAGCCUAACACUUGGUUCAGUUCAAAUCGAUGAGAUUAAACGAGCUAGCAAUCAUAGGAGGAUGGAUUGUCUGCUCAUCCGCCGCACCCCAGUACAGCGCUUCUUGCAAUCGGAACCAGUAAGUUCCAAGCAACAUCAUGCUGUAGCUCAAAAAACCAUCUGCAUUUUUAAUAUACUUCGACAAUUAAAAUGAACACCUAUUAGUUUCUCCACAGCUACAAGGCCACCAGCGGUCGCACAUCCACAACCAAUUGAAACAAUGCAAAUUGACCCGCAACUCGACCACCAACUACCUUAGCCACUCUUCAUCGCAGCUCCCCACAAUAACUCUAGAACGCCAACAGCAACAAGAUUAGAGAUUCCAAUAAAACGCAGGAACCGGCUCGAUUUGCACCACUAGCAACAACAAAAACUGGAAUCAACCACCACAACACACCUCAGUGUCGAUGCUGUAUCAGCUCGAGGAACACUAAUGUUCAAUGAAAAACUGGAUCAAGCAGCCACUAAAGACGGCUCCAACGAGUUCCUUCGCGAUAGUCCGAGCAAUGCUGAACAGGUUGUUGACGUGCUCGGCCUGAUCUUUGCAAAAAUUGAACCCACCAUCAACGUGAAAGGGAAUGGGAAUAAGAAUACGAAUGCGAAUGGGAUCUUGGGGUGGCUCUUUGUCUUCGACACAGGUCGAGGGAAGGUCGCAGGGGCAGCGACGACGGAGCCCGAGGGGAGCACCGCUACUUCGCUUUGACACAUCUCAAUCGUAUCAAGAACAGCAACAACACCGCACGGCAGUCGCCAAUACUACCAGCGCCCAUCCCGCUUUGGCACUUCAAUCAGGAAAAAAACAAAUAACAAGAGAAGAAAAAAAAAACACUAGCAGUUGCAGUUUCUCAACACAGGCACUGCCUAACAAACUGCCAGCAAUACCGUUUUUGCACCGCAGCGAAGAGGGAAAAGAGAAUGUAGUCCGGGCUCAGCACUUUGCAAGACCAUCACAGGAAAAAAAUACCGAAAACAGCUCUGUCGAAGUCGGAGCUCAAACCACGAAAGGAAAAAAAUAAUAGGAAAAGGGAGAGGGGGUCCGGGGCGGCCUAGACCCCUAUCGGCAAUGAGGCCCGUUGCCCAAUCUCAUCCGUCGGAUACCGCUUGGUUGAUACCCGGAAAUCCUACAAGCCACUGAAGGCUGGACAAUAUACUGGACUAAAAAUCAGAUCGUAUAUUGGGUAGUAUUUUCUACCAUAUUUCCUACCAUAUAUUCUAUGGUAUAGCUAUUAUAUACUCUGCUGUGUUUUUAAACCGUAUGCUACAUUAUAUGCUAGACUUGUAUUUUACCUUCAUAUAUCAUACUGUAUGGCAUUCAUACUCCAUAUGAAAUUCAGUCCUAUAUCGACUACAUAUCCAGAUCGUAUACAACAGUAUUUGGGUCGUACAUACUAGAAUUUUGAAGGUUCUGGAUUCUUUUUACAUGCUUUUAAGAUGCUAUAAUUGAUGCCAAUUUUAUGCCAAUUUUAUGGCCCUCUAAAAUGCUUUUUAUAUGUAAAUCUCCACAAGAUUUUUCUAUAUUAAUCAUAUUUUUUCUAUUAACACUAUUUUGCUCAUAUCUAGCCUUUUUCUAUCUAAUUUUUCACGUAAUAAUUGCACUUGGAAUUCUAAUUAUAUUCUUUUAUUCUAAAAAAACUCUUGAGUUGAUUUGGUGACUUGCAUAAACCUUCAAAACUUUGCUUAGAAAUAUAUGUGCCUUUCAACUUGUGGAAAAAACCACAAUAUAAUGUCAUCUCUUAAAAGCUUUAUUGCACCCAACUCCUGAAUUUGUUACUUGCAACAAGGACAUCAGUUUCAGAUAUGCUCAUAAAAAUCCACACAUAAUUUGAAGAAUUCCAACUACCCUGCAUCAAUACAAAAUAGUAUGAAUCUAUCUCCAUUUAUUUUAUUCAUUUAAUAUAUAUAUAUAUAUAUACAUAAUUUUUUUCCCUAAUUUUUUUAAUAUUAUAGGUGAUAUUUUUUAAAUAUAAAUUUAAUAAGUAUAAAAUUUAUAAUAUUUUUUUAAAAAAAUACUAUUAUCAAAUUUAAGCUUUUAAUUGCAAUAUAUAUAUAUAUAUAUAUAUAUAUAUAUAUAUAUAAAUAUAUAUUAACUUAAUAAUAAUAAUAAUUAUAAUAUAUUUUUUAAAAAUAUCUAUAGAAUUCAAUAAUCAUAUCUCAAAGUAUUAAAGAUGUUUUAUUACUUUAUGAAAAAUUUUAAGACAUAUUUUGAAGACUAUUGCAAAUCAAGUAUUUUAUAUAUAGCUAAUUUAAUGAAGUAUUGAUGCUUAGUUAGUAAAUGAAUACAAAAUAAUUAUACUAUUAUUAUAUUACUUAAAUUUUAUAUUAUAUUAUUAAAAAAAUUAUAUAAAUAUUAAUAUAUUAAUAAAAAUAUAAUUAUUUAAUAUAUUUUUAUAUUUUAAAAAUAAUAUUACUUUAUAUCAUAUAUAAGUCAUAUAUAAUAAAAUUAAAAAUAUAUAUAAUUUAUUAAAAUUUCUAAAUAAAAAAAUAUUAUAAGACUAUAUAAUUAAUUAUUUAAUUAAAUUUAUAAUUUUAUUAUCUAUAUCUUGAAAAAAGAAAUUAAAAUUUUAAAAAUAAUUAAAUUUUUAUCUAUAAAAUCUAACUUAAUUAAUUAUUUAUAAAUUACUUUUUUUUUUUUUGUAAAAAAUAGCAUAUGAUGAUAAUAGUGUGUUAUAGAAGGAUUGGGGUCAAAGAAUAAAAUCAUCAAAGAUUCAUAUUUCAUGUUUGUAUUAUUUUAUUGCUACUAGAAUGCCAAAUUUAUUGAAUUGAUAUUAUUAUCUACAAAUUGGAAUUCCAUAAUUUAAAAUAUUUGUUCAUUUUAAACUCAUUUGGCAUAAAAAAUUGUGCUAAAAUAUUUAAAUUUGACAUUAUUCUAAAUUUUUUAUUUCUUUGUUACAAACAUAUAUUUAUUAUAUUUAUUAUUUAAGUAAUAUAAAUAGGUAGAAGUAAUUAAAAGUAGAUUGAUUUCACAAUAUUUUUUUUAAAAAGCUUCUUAGAAGCUUCAUGGAUAUUACUUUGAUUUUAUAUGUAUUUUUAGUUAAUUAGUAGGUUAGAAACUUGGUCAACAAAUUAAUCACAUGCGAUACAUGUUGAUAGCUUGGAGAAUAAGUUAACUAUGUGGCACCCAUAUAAGAAACUUGCCUUAUAAGUUAAGAUACAUGUUAUGCAAAGUCAAAAUGUUGUUACGGAUAUAUAUAUAUAUUUAUUCUAAUAUUUAUUUAUAUAAUGAAGUAAAAAUAGAUAAAAGUAGAUUUAUUUCAUAAUAUUUUUUAGAGAUGCUUCUUAGAAGCUUCAUAGAUAUUGCUUUAACUUUACAUGUGUUUGUAGUUGAUUGAUAGAUUAGAAACUUGAUCAACAAGUUAAUCACAUGUUGGUAGCUUGUGGAGCAAGCUAACUAUAUGGUAUACAUAUAGAAAACUUGCCUUAUAAGUUAAGAUACAUGUUUUGUAAAGUCAAUACUUUUUAAAGAUUCUAUAAGACAUCUCUACAUAGCUUCUAGUUAAUAGUAUAUAUGGAGGCAGAAAAGAAGUAUUUUUUACUCUUGUGAAUGCCUUUCUAGUCUUUAGUCGUGUUUUAAGACUUUCUAGUCUUCUUGUUUUUAGUAAUAGUCAUUCUAGUUUAAUAUUAUAUCAUCUUUAAAUGAUUUUUUAGUCUUUUAAGUGGCACAAAAGUGUAUUGACAUUUUAAUUCUUAGAUAUUUAUAUCCUUGCUAAUUUGACAAGAGUACUAACUUAUUGUUCUUGCUUUUAGAAGUGAGUGAAUAACUCCACUUCUAUUGUUGUGUUUUAAAGGUUUCAAAUUAUCCACCUUCAAAUAAAUUAUUUAUUUUUCUAAUACCAAUUUUUUCUUUAAAUAGAACUAAUUAUCUUUCUUUAUAAAAAAAUUCAUUCAAUAUUAGACAUUGUAAAUUAUUCUCUUUUAAUUGACUUGAGGAUUUAUCAAGUUAUUUGAAAUAGAUGAAAAAAUCAUAGAUAUUAUAUUUGGAAGAAAUAAAAAUAGAUUUGCAACUAUUGUAGAUCUUCAUGAAUAUAUAAAUACUUUUAGAGUAGAAAUUUCACACAUCACUAGUACCAACCAUAGAAACAAUAAUUCUAUGUCUAUAAAAGAAGUUCAAAAUUUAUGGCAAGAAGUUGUAUAAUUAAAAGAAUCAUGUAGAUCAAAAUCACAACCAAAUUUAAGAAAUUUUACUUCUACAAGUACGAUGGAUACACAAAUUAGUAUGCCCAAUAAAUUUGAUGCAACAAGAUCAAAAUUUUGAAGAUUUUUGCAACAAAUUAAGCUCUAUCUAAGGUUGCAUUCCUUCUAAUACCUUGAUGGACUAACUCAAGUUGGAUUCACAGGCACACUUAUAUUUAAAAGUAUACUUUUUUGAUUUAUAUUAUUAAUAAAAAAAAGAUUUAUAACUCCUUUAUGAUUUGAAUUCAUUCCAAGCAGUUUAUGGCUACAUUUGGAGAUAGUGAUUGAAAAAGAAUAACAAAGACAAAUCUCUUAUUUUUACAACAUGGAUUACAAUAAGCUAUCAUAUAUGCUAAUAAAUUCUAAAAUCUUGCUUGCAAUAUGGACUAAAAUGACAAAGCCUUUAUCAAUCAAUUUUGAUAUGGAUUGAAAGAUGACGUCAAAGAUUUAUUAUUGAUAUGUUAAAAAAAAAUCUUUAAAAUAAUUUAUUACUCAAGCCAUUGCAUGUGACAAUUGAUUAUUUGAAAGGCUUCAAGAUCAAAGAUUUGGCUCGCGAGGAAUAAACUAAGUAAUGACAAUAGCUUCCAAGUUUUUAGAAACUUAUUCAUCAAAAUAAAAAUCAAUGAAAAUUAAAACAAUACACUUUAAAUCCUUCACUAAGCAAAAAAAUUCUUGACAUUAUUAAGAAGGUUUGUGCUUAUAUUGUGGACGAGUUAAACAUAUUGUUUUAUAUUUUUUAAAGAAGCAAUCUAAAUACAAAAUAAGAAAGAUAUUUGCCAAAGAAGAAAUGUGUCAAAAAAUGAGUUUUUCUAGCUAUAAUAAAGAUCGUACGGCUAGAAUCAUGUGCAAUACCUAAUAAAGAUCAUAUUUUUUCCUUGGAUCCCUCACAUUGUUUUAUAAUAGAUAUGUCUUUAGGACUUGAAAAUCACAAAAUCUUUACAGUAUUAGAUUUCAGAGACUUAGCUUGUUUUAUAUAUAAAGACUUUAUCAAAAAAAUAAGAAAUAUCUUUACUCAAGAAAACUAAAUUCAUACAUGUAGAAGUCAUAAAUGAUUGUUUGUUGUCUUUUGGAGACAUUAUUAAAGAAUUUUUUCUUUUACAUGUAACAAUUAAAGAUCAUAAUAGUACAAUAAUAUUUAAUACAAUAAGAUCGUCCUUCAAUCCAAUUAUUUUGGAAUUAUUGUGAUUAAAAAAAUAUAACCUUCAAAUAAAUUGAAUUUUUUAUAAUUUUAAUUAUUUCUAUAAUUUAAUUUAAAAUAAUAAUAGUAAAAUAAAAUUAGAUAAGCUUAAUAUAUUAAAACUCUUCUUGAUAGAUGCAAGAACCUUCACACAUAUGACAAAAGAAGGGUCAUUUUUUGCUAUGUAUGCUACAUCUAUUUUCAAUAGUAAAAAGACGUGAAGUAGUAUUCUUAACUAGUAUUGAAAUUUUCAAGAUAUUUUUCAAAAGAAGAAUGCAGAUAUUCUUUUAAAGAAUUGAUUCUAUGAUUGUAAAAUUAAUCUAUGAGAGCGAAUUCAACUACCAUUCAAAUCCAUCUAUAACUUAUCUCAAAAUGAAUUGAUUGCACUAAAGAAAUAUAUUGAUAAGAACUUACCUAAAAAUUUCAUAUGUCAUUUAAAAUUUCUAGUAGGAACUCCAAUUUUAUUUGUGAAGAAAAAAGAUAGAUCUUAGUGGAUGUGCAUAGACUAUUGAGGACUUAAUAAGUUCACAAUCAAGAAUAUGUAUCCCUUAGUUUUAAUUUUAAGUCUUCUUGACCAAUUCAAUUAAAUAAAGAUAUGUAAAAAAAUAGAUUUAGGAAGAAUAUACAACUUUGUUUCCAUUAAAGAAGGAAAUGACUGAAAGAUUACUUUUCAAACUAGGUAUAGACAUUUUGAAUAUAAUGUCAUACUUUUUGGACUUAUAAAUUUACUAACUACUUUUCAACAUCUCAUAAAUAAUGUCUUUUAUGAGUUUUUUUAAUGAUUUUAUUGUAUGUUAUUUAGAUGAUAUUUUAACAUAAUCUAAGAAUGUAGAAGAACAUGAAUUUUAUAUUUUUCAUGUAUUACAAAAAAUUAGAAAUGCAAGAUUAUAUGUAAAAAUAAAAAAAUAUGUAUUCUAUACUAUUCAAGUUGAUUUCUUAAAAAAUUUCAUUUUCAACAAAGGAUUAAUGAUGGAUCUUAAGAAAGUUCAAACUAUUAUAGAUUGGAAGUUCCAAAAAUAGUCAAAUAUAUGUAAUAUUUCUUGAGAUUUUUUAAUUAUUAUCAAAUCUUCAUCUUGAAUUUUUUUCAAGUUAUAGCUCUUCUUACAUGUAUGAUAUGUAAAGAAAAACUUAAGUUGAGUAAAGAAGCUAAAACAUCUUUUAAAACCUUGAAGACAACAUUUAUUUUUGUACCAAUUUUGUAUUGUAUCAAUUUUUGAAUAUAUUCUUUAUAGGAAGAAAUCCAUCAGAUUUUGUUAUAGAUGCUAUUUUAUUAAAAAUGGGAGAAAAUGAUAAGCUCUAUUUGGUAGUUUUUUAUUCUAAGAAAUUUUUAAUGACAAAGAUUAAUUAUGAGAUCUAUGACAAAAAGCUUAUUACAAUUGUAGAUUCAUUUCAAGAAUAGCAUCAUUAGCUAGAAAGUAGUUUUAGUCCAAUUAUUAUAUAUAUGGAUCAUAAGAACUUCAAAUAUUUUAUAUUGGCAUGUAUUUUGAAUUGUUUCAAGCUUAUUGGAAUAUGUCUUUAUUAAAAUUUGAUUUCAAGAUCACCUAUAGAUCCAAAAAAACAACAAGGUUUAUUCAAUGUUCUUUUUAAAUAUUUUUAUCUUACACCAAAAGAAAGAGAUGUAACUUUUGAUCAAUAAAGAAUAAUUCUCUUAAAAUUGGAGCUUUUUCAUCUUUGAGCAAUAAAAUUAAUAUUGAUUAUUGAUUGAAUUAUUUUCAAGAAAAAUUCAAUCAAGUAUAUCUUUUGAUCUUCUUAUUUAUGAUACCAAAAAUAAUUCCUUUAAGUCUUAUGAUACUUCCAAGUUUGAGUUCAAAAAUAAUCUACUCUACUUCAUGAGAUAAUUAUAUAUUUUAAAAGAUAAAGUAUAAUUACAUAUUCUUCAAGCUUGUUAUGACUAUUUUAUAGUUAGAUAUUUUGGAUACAACAAGAUUUUGAAGCUAAUAUUUAAAAAAAAUUGAUGGCUUCAAAUGUAGAAGGUAGUCGUAGAUUUUGUAUAAUUAUAUAAUAUUUGUUUAAGUUCCAAAAUCCCUCAUCAUUGACCUUAUAGACUUUUUGAUCAAUUACUUAUUGUAAAAUAAUCAUGGUCUUUUGUUUUUAUAGAUUUUAUUACAAAACUUUUAAUUUUAGAUUUGUAUGAUUUUAUAUUUAUAAUAAUAGAUUAUUUUACAAAGAUAACAUAUUUUUUACCAUGAAUAAAAUCUAUCAUAGGUGAAAAAAUGGCUAAAUUUUUUUUUGACAAUUUUUAUUGCUAUCAUGGAUUAUCAAAGGAUAUUAUAUCAGAUAGGAAGAUUCAAUUUAUAUCAAGAUUUUAGAGAAUCCUUUUUAAGAUUUUAAAGAUAGAUAUAAAACUAUCUUCAAUUUUUCAUCCUCAAAUUGAUAGGCAAAUAAAAUUGGUAAAUAAAGUUCUAAAGUAAUAUUUGAGAUAUAUCAUCAAUUAUCAUCAAGAUGAUUAGUUAAUUCUUUUGCCAUUGGCAGAUUUUGUGUACAAUAAUUUAGUACAUUUUUUUAUUCAACAAAUACUUUUUCUUUGUCAAUUAUGGUUAUCAUCUAUGACUUGAUACUUUAAAUUUUUUAAAAGUUGAUAAUCUUAUGGCAAAAUUUUUGGAAAAUUAUUUGUCAAAGCUACAUGCAAUAAUGAAGGUACAUUUAAAAGAAGUUCAAGAAUGACAAAAAAAAUCAAUGUGGAUGCCUAUUGCAAAGAACAACCAUAAUUUAAUGCAGGUGAUAAGGUAUGGCUAUUUUAUUGUAAUAUCAAGAUUACUUGUUCUUGUGACAUGUUGGACUAUCAUAAGUUUGGAUGUUUUUUUAUUAGUAAACGAGUCAAUUUCAUUGCUUAUCAAUUACAUCUAUUGUAAUCUAUAAAGAUUCAUUUUAUAUUUCACAUAUUUCAUCUUAAGUCAAAUAAGAUAAUGAAUAUCUUUGGAAGAAGACAAAUAUCACUUCGUCCUAUAGAAGUGAAUAAUAAUCAAGAAUUUGAGUUGAAAGAAGUCUUAAAUUCAAGGUGGCACCAAAAUAGAUUAGAAUGCCUUAUUCAUUAGCGUGGAUAUAAUAUUAAUGAACACACAUGGAAGCUAGCAAAAAAUCUUAUAAAUGUAAUAAAGAAUGUUGAGGCUUUUUAUUAACAAUAUCUAUAAAAACCAAGAUAAAAAAUAACAUAUCUUUGCUAUAAAAAAAUAAAAUAAAACAAAGAUAACAUUCUAUCUUUGAUUCUUGUUUAUAAUUUUUGUGUAUUUGUGACUUUAAUAAGAUAGAGAAUCAACAACCAAUAGAUUCAAUUUAAGAACUAUCACUUACUGACUUAUCAAAUAAGACAUUGCUAUUGUCACAACCUUCAAGACCAUCUAAUUGAGAUUAAAAUCUUUAAGAAAAAAAUAUCCUUUUCAAAUAAAUGGCAAGAUACAAAAUAUUUGAUAUCAUAACUUUGGAAAGAACUCUUCAUGUUUGAUGAUUUUAUUAGAAAUAAAAAUGACUCUUGAUGAUAUUUCAAAUGUUUUAUUUGAAAAAAGUUAUAAAGGUGUCAAUAAUGAUCAAACAAGAGGAUAAACUUUCCAUCCUAAUAUGGGAGACUAUUGAUGACUAAGAAGAUCUAUCAACUAUUUGUAAAGAUUACAAAGAUCAAAAUAUGUAAUAAUUAGAAUUCACUGUAUCUUGAAUUUUUUCAAUACAUAAUGACCACUCCUUAUGGAACUCAUUCCUAGAAGAAGGAAAUAAUAUUACAAAAAUAUAUAUUUAUUCUAAUAUUUAUCUAUAUAAUUAAAUAGAAAUAAGUAAAAAUAGAUUUAUUCUUUAAUUUUUUUUUUAUUGAUGCUUUUUAGAAGCUUUAUAGAUGUUACUUUGACUUUAUAUGUAUUUGUAGUUAAUUGAUAGGUUAGAAACUUGGUCAACAAGUUAAUCAUGUAUUCAUAGCUUGUAAAAAAAGUUAAUUAUGUGGCAUACAUAUAGAAAACUUGCUCUACAAGUUAAGAUACGUGUCUUGCAAAGUCAAUACUUUUUGGAGGUCCUAUAUAUUAUUACUACAUAGUUCUUAAUAAAGAUUAUAUAUGGAGAUAAGAAUGAAGCAUUUUUUACUCUUAUCAAUGUCUUUUUAGUUCUUAAUCUUAUUUGAAGACUUUUUAGUCUUUUUAUCUUUAGUAAUACCUAUUUUAAUUUAAUAUUAAAUCAUCUUUGAGUAAUUUUUUAGUCUUUUGAAUAGCACAAGAAUAUAUAUAUAUAUAUAUAUAUAUAUAUAUAUAUUAAAAGCAGAUUUUUUUUCAUAAGAUAUAAAUAUAUUAAAAGUUGUAGAUUAUUUUUUUUUAAAUUGAUAUUAUUUUUAAUAUUUCUUUUGUUUUCAAGUUCUUUCUUUUACUUAUCUUAAGAAAUAUUAAACAUCUCUUUUUCUCUAAGUCUUAUCAUUGUAGAGCUUAUCAAAAUAAAGAAUGCAAUGGCAAAAAUAUAAGAAUAAUUAAAAGAGUUAAUGCUUAAAAUGCAUCAACUCAAUUUACUAUGAUAAAGAAGAAUAAGAAAGCUUGAAAGUGGAGACAUAGAAAUGAUUGAAGUUGCUUCAAUAUCUAUACCAAAUCAUAUUCUUUCUCUCGUGAUGGAACACCAUUUAAGUAUUAGAGAACCAAGAAUUGCCUUACUUGAGAAGUUUGAUGAUACAAAAUAAAAGAUUUGAGGAUUCAUCAAUCAAGUACAAUUAACAAUUAAACCUCAAUUCUAAAGCUAUUUAAUUCAAAAAUAAUUUGUCAACUUUAUUGAAAUAUUACUUUUUGGUUUUGUAUUAUCAUAAUUUUUUUUUUUUUUUUGAAUAAUAUGAUCUAAUAUUGGACAAUUUGAAAGCUUUUUUGGUAAAGUUUUGAUCUAUACAUAAAAAUAUGAUGCAAUUUAUGUUGUAAAAAAUAAGAUUUAUAUUUUUCUAUAAAAAAAUCAAUGUAUAAUAUUUUAUGCUUUAUAACUUUAAAAACUUAUAAUUGAUAUGAAGUGGAAUAAUAUUGAAUUUAUUAGCCAAUUAUUUUAUAGAUUAUAAUAUGAAGUAAAGAAAUUGAUGCUCUAUUUAUGUAAUCCUCCAAUAUUGAGUUAAGAAAUUGAUUUUGCUUUAAAGUGUGAUAAUUGACUUUUUUGAUUUUGGUCUGAGAAUUGCAUAUGUAGGCUUCAAUGUUAUUACAAUUCAAUGGCAGUACCAACAUCUUUUAAGUACAUACCUUUGAAAGUAGAAGAUAUACAAAUUGAUGUCAUAUGUUUAAAAUCUCUUAUUGAGCAAGAAAAGACUCAUUGUUAUAAAAAAAGAUAAGAUUUAUAUUAUGGAAAAUCAAAUUAUAUUAUUCAAAAUUAUCCAAAGAAAUAAUACAAUUAUAAAAUAAAAAGUACAACUAUAAAAAAAAUAAUAUGUUAGAAAAUAAGUUUGUUUAGCUAUAAUAAGGAUUAGGUGGCUGGAACCUUGUACAACACCUAAUAAAGGUCCUAUUUUUUCUUUGGAACCUUCCCUUUGUUUCACAAUAGAUAUUAAUUUAAGACUUAAACAUCAUAAAGUUUCUAUCUUACUAAAUUUAAGAGCCUUAAUUUAUUUUUUAGAUGGAUUUUUUAAAAGGUACAACAUAUCUUUAGUAAAAAAAAAAAAAAAAAAAAAAAAAAAAAAAAACCUUUUCUUAUAGAAGUCAUAAAUGAUCAUUUAUUAUGUACUAGAGACAUUAUUUAUAAAAAAAAUCCUUUAAAAGUAGUAAUUAAUGAUCAUAGCAGCUUUGUGAUAUUUAAUAUCAUUAGAUCUUUUUUAAUUUUAUUAUUUUAGAUUUAUUAUACUUAAAAAAAUAUAAUUCUUAAAUAAAUUAGAUUUUUUAUAGUCUUGACUUUUUUCAAAGUAUAAGUAAGAAUAUAAUUAAUUAAGUAGAAAGUCAUAAGUUUAGCAUAACCAAACCUAUAUUUGUAGAUGCAAGAACUUUUUUGUAUGUUGCAAAAAAAUGAUCACCUUAUAUCAUUUAUGCUAUACUUGUUCUAAUAGAAAAAAGACUUCAAAUGGCAUUUCUAGCCAGUAUUAAGAUUUUCAAGUUAUAUUUGAAAAAGAAAUGUGAAUAUUAUUUUGAAAUAUUAUCUCUAUAAGUACUCAAUUGGCCUUUAAAAAAGAGUUUAACUAUCAUUUGGACCAAUCUAUAAUUUAUCACAAAAUGAAUUGGUUGAACUUAAAGAAUAUAUUAAAGAAAAUCUAGCCAAGAACUUCAUACACCAUUAUAAAUCUCUAGCUAGAGUUUUAAUUUUAAUUAUGAAGAAAAAAGAUGGAUCAUUACAGAUAUGUCUUGAUUAUCAAGGAUUCAAUAAGAUCACCAUUAACAAUAAUUACUCGCUACUUUUGAUAUCUAGCCUUCAAGAUCAGUUGAAUCAAGUUAAAAUCUAUACAAAAAUAGAUCUACAAAAGUCAUACAAUUUGAUAUGUAUUAAAAAAUAUAUAUAUAUUACAUUUCAAACUAAGUACAAAUAUUUUGAAUAUAAUAUCAUGCCUUUUGGAUUUACAAAUGUACUACCAACUUUUCAACAUCUAAUAAAUGAUAUUUUUUGAGAGUUUUUGGAUGAUUUUAUUAUUUGUUAUUAGAAAAAAUAUUUUUAAUUAUUCUAAAAAUAUAAAAUAUAAAAUUCAUUUUUAUUAUGUGUUAUAAAAAUUAAGAAAUAAGAGACUCUAUGUCAAGAUAAAAAAGUGUACAUUUCAUAUUAUUCAAGUCAAAUUUUUAGGAUACAUCAUUUUAAAUGAUGUAUUUAUGAUGGAUUUUUAAAAAAUUCAAACUAUUAUGGAUUGAAAGAUUCCGAAAUUGUAAGAGAUAUCUAAUACUUUUUGAAAUAUGUCAACUACUACCAAAUCUUUAUUAAGGAUUUCUCUCAAGUUGCAAUUCCACUUACAUGUUUAACUUGUAAAGACAAACUUCAAUAGAAUUAAGAAGCAAAAAUAAUAUUUAAAGUUUUGAAGAAAGCCUUUAUUUUUACACCAAUCUUAUAUCAUAUCAACUUUUUGAAGCUAUUUUUUUUUUAUAGAAAUAGAUACAUCAAACUUUGCUUUGGGUGUUGCAUUAUUGUAAACAGAAACAAAUGAUAAACUUCACUUUAUAGUUUUUCAUUUUAAUUUUUUUUAACAACCAAGAUCAACUACAAGAUCUACCAAAAGAACUUCUUGCAAUCAUGGAUUUAUUUCAAAAAUAGUGCCAUUAUCUAGAAGUCAUUCCUAGUCUAAUCACUAAAUAUAUAUGAAUCAUAAGAUCUUUGAGUAUUUUAUGUUAAUACAUGUUUUGAAUCAUUGCUAAGUCUAUUAGAGCAUAUCUUUGUCAAGAUUCAAAUUAAAGAUCACUUAUUUACUAGAAAAAAAAUAAGGUUUAUUAGAUAUACUUUCUAAAUGAUCUUACCUUAUACUAAAGAAAAUAAAUUUUUCUUUUGAUCAAUAAUAAAUAGUUCUCUUGAAGCCAAAAAAUCUUCAUUUUUGAGUAAUGAAAUUAAUAUUAAUUAUUAAUUCAAUUUUUAUUAAGUAAUUUCAAUCAAGUAUGUCUUUUAAUUUUCUUAUUCAUGAUAUUAAAGAAAAUCUUUCAAAGUCCUAUGAUACUUCUAAGUUUGAAUUCAAAAAUAAUCUAUUAUAUUUCAAGGAAUCCUUAUAUGUUUCAGAAGUUGAAACUUGAUUACAUGUUCUUUAAGCUUCUCACAACUUUCUAACAAUAAGACAUUUUGAAUAUAAUAAGACUUUGAAACUAAUAUCUGAAGAUUUUGAUAGUUCAAAAUAUGGAAGGUAGUUAAAAAUUUUAUAUAAUCAUGUGAUGUUUGUUCAAGAUAAAAAAUUCCUUGUUAUCAUCUUUACAGACUUUUUCAACCAUUAUCUAUUUCAAAAUAAUCAUGGUCUUUUAUUUUUAUGGAUUUUAUUAUAGAUCUUCUGGUCUAAGAUUCUUAUGACUUCAUAUUUGUGAUAAUAUAUUAAAUCAUGUAAAAAAUCUAUCAUAGGUAAAGAAACAAUUAAACUUUUCUUUGAAAACAUCUAUUGCUAUUGUGGAUUAUUUAAAGAUAUUAUAUAAGAUAGAAGAACUUAUUUUAUAUCAAGAUUUUAGAGAAUACUUUUUAAACUUCUAAAGAUAGACAUAAAACUAUCUUUGGCUUUUUAUCCUCAAAUUGAUGGAUAUAUAAGUAUGUAAAUCAAGUUUUAAAAUAAUAUUUGAGAUGUACCAUCAACUAUCAAUAAGAUGAUUAGAUAAUUUUUUUGCCAUAAGUAAAGUUUUCUUAUAAUAAUAUGAUAUAUUCUUCUAUAUAAUAUACACCUUUCUUUCCUAAUUAUGGUUAUCAUCUACAACUUGAUGACUUUAAUUUUUUAAAAUUUGACAAUCUUAUAGCAAAUAUUGUUUUGUUAUAUCAUAUUAUAACAAAUUAUUUAUUUGAUUUAUAUACAAUAAUGAAGGUACAAUUAAAAGAGGUUCAAGAAUAACAAAAGAAUAAUAUAAAUAUAUAUCACAAGCAAUGAGUCUAUUUCUAUAUUGGUGAUAAGGUAUGAUUAUUUUAUUAUAAUAUUAUAACUAUUUGCUCUUGUCACAAAUUGAAUUAUUGUAGACUUGGAUUUUUUUUUAUUUAUGAAUAAGUCAAUCUAAUUCUAUAUUGAUUAUAUCUACCAGAGUCUCAUAUUUCAUGUAUUUAUUUUAAAAUCAUAUAAGACAGUGAAUAUUUUUAAAAGAAGACAAAUAUCAUUACUUUCUAUAGAAAUAGAUAAUAAUCAUGAAUUUGAGAUAAAAGAAGUCUUAGACUCAAGGUGGUGCCAACUUAGGUUAAAAUAUCUUAUUCAUUGGCAUAAAUAUAAUAUUAGCAAAUAUACAUGAAAGCCAACAAAAAAUCCUAUAAAUGCAAUAGAGAAGGUUAAAGAUUUUUAUCAACAACAUCUAUCACAAUGAAGAUAAAACAUAAAAAAAUCCUUUGCUAUAAAAGAAACACGAUUUUAAAAAAAUUGUAUUCUAUCUUUAUUCUUGUUUAUAGUUUUUGUGGUAUUGAAGAGAUCAAGAAUCAAGAGCCAAUAGAUUCAAAUCAAGUGCCAUCAUUUGUAGACUAAUUAGACAAGACAUUAUAAUUAUUAUAAUUUUUAAGAUAAUAUAAUAGAGAUGAAGAUAUUUAAAAGUGACAUGUUCUUCCUCAAAUAGAUGGUAAGAUACAAUACAUUUGAUAUCACAACUUGGAAAGAGAGUCUUGAUAUUUGAUGAUUUUAUUGGAGGUAGGAACAACUCUUGAUGGUAUUACAAAUGUUUCAUUUGAAAGAAGUUACAACAGUUUCAACAAUGAUCAUAUAACAUGGUGGUCUUUUCAUCCUACAAUGAGAUAUUAUCAAUAGAUGAGAGGACCUAUCAACUACCUUCAGAGGGAACAAAGGUCAAAAUACGUGGCAAUUAUAAUUCACUGUAUCUUACACUUCUUCAACAUAUAAUCAUCGAUCUUUAUGGAACUUAUUCUUAAAAGGAGAGAUAAUGCAAUGGAUAUAUAUUUAUUAUAGUUAUUAUCUAAGUAAUAUGAAUAGAUAGAAGUAAGUAAAAAUAGAUUAAUUUCAUAAUAUCUUCUAGAAAAGAUUCUUAAAAAUUUUAUAGAUUUUAUUUUGACUUUACAUAUAUUUUUAGUUGAUUGAUAAAGUAGAAACUUGGUCAAAAAAUUUAUCAUAUACCACACAUAUUAAUAGCUUGUAAAACAAGCUAACUAUGUAGUACCUAUAUAAAAAAAUUACCUUGCAAAUUAAGAUACAUGUUAUGCAAAGUCAAUACAUUUUAGAAGUCCUAUAAAACAUUGACACAUAGCUUCUAGAUAGAUAAUAUAUAUAGAGGCAAGAAUGAAGCCUUCUUCACUCUUAUCAAUUCUUUUUUUACUUCUAGUCUAAUUUCAAGAGUCUCUAAUCUUUUGGCAAUAGCCAUUCCAAUUUUUUUUAAUAUAUAUAUACUUUCAUAUUUCUAUUUAUUAUAAUUUUUUAAAAAAGUCUCACUUCUUUAUUUGUUUUCAUUUAGUUCUUGUCCUUGAUACUUUUUUAAUUAUAAUCACUCAUUUUUUGUAAUAUCAUUAUCAAGGAAUAUUAAUAUUUAAAAUUUUAUAUUUAAAAAUAUACAUAAAAAGUGUUGGAUAGAUAAAGAAUCUAUUGUAUUUUUUUAUUUUUUUAUUUUUUUAAUACAACUCUUCCUAUAUUUAUUUGAUUGUGCAAUAACACGGCUAUAGAAUUUAUAUGAUUUUUUUCAAUAACAAUCUAAAACAUAUGCAUAGUAAGCACAAUGAUGUAAACUAAUACAAGAAGUAAUUAUAAUAAUUAUAAUUAUUAAGUAAAUAGUAUGAAAUAAACUUCAUAAUUACAUCUUUUUCAUCUAUACUUUUUCUUGAUAAUGCUAUAGAUAAUGUCAUAAUUAUUUUUUAUAGAUUUCUUUUUAGCAUCAAAUCUAUCAACUCUAAGUCAAUCCAUGCUAAAUUGUAGCAAUGUUUGUUUGAUCAAUAAAAUAGAAUAUCAAAGUUGAAUUAUUUUUACAAGUAUUAUGUUUAAAUUACAUAUAUAAACAUGCAAAAAACUCAAAUUUCAACAAAAUAUAUACUUAAAGAAGUACAAAAAAAUAUAUAAAUAAAAUUUGAAGUUUUAAAGUCUAAAAUAUCAACUCUAUAUUAUAUUUUUAUUUUUUCCAUAAUAAAUUGUAUAUAAUACAAUAGAUAAGAAACUUUUAAAAAAUAUUUUUUAACAUAUAAUAUCUUUUGCUUCUAAUAAGAUGUGCUUAAAAGAAGAAUUUUUAGACUUUGUUGAUUUUAUUACAAAUCAUUUUUUUAGUAUUAAUUAUUUACAAAAAUAAAAAAGAAUAAAUUCAUAAUAUUUUUUUUCUUUUUAAAAUAAUUAUUUUUUAUGAUUUUAAUACAUCAUAAUAAAAUAAAGUCUCUACAGUUAAAUCUUGUAUAAAACUCAAAGUUGCCUUAACUAACAUGUAGAAGCUAAAAUACUUCUUAAUGAGUUCUAUGAUUUGCUUAUCUUCAAUGUGCGCUUUUAUUUAUAAGUGAAACUUUUUUUCACAAAAACUUUGCAUGAAUAGCUUGGAAAGACCAUUCUUAGAUAAAUACAUGAUCAAAUCGAAUAGAUUCUAUUGAAUCAAAUAUUCUAAAAGAAGUUCAAUAUUUAUCAUAUUCAUGACAACUAUAACAUUUAAGUUGCAAUUAAAUCAGAUACUUGAAUGUAAAAAUAAUGACUGAAAAAUGCUUACAACUUUUUGUCCUCAUCAAAGAUGCUACAAGAUGUAAUAAUCAAAAAACAUCUAUCUUUAUUAGAAUCUAACAACCAAACUUAAUAAAAUAAAUACAAUCAGUUUGAAGUUUAUUUUAUAUAAUUAGCUAGGCAUGCAAGCAAUUACUAAUCUAAUUAUAUGCAUUUGAUACACAUUAUUAUUAAUCUAAAAAUUUUAUAAAAAUAUUCUUAUACAUAAAAUCAAUCAUUUUUAACAUGAGCAUUAUAGGCGCAUUCAUUUCAAUUAAUGCCACUUAUCAUAAGAAUUCUACACUUAUAAUAUUUUGAAGUUGCAUCAAAAUCGUAAAUAUAUUAUUAUAGAUUAUUUAAAAUAUGACAACUAACGAGCCUUGUAACUAAGUACCAACAUAAAAAUAUAAUUUUUAUUAAAAGCAUGAUAAGUUAAAUUCUAUAUUGAUUCAAAGAGAUAUUAAGAUGCAAAGACAAAUCAUUUAUUCAAUUCUACAAAUUUUAGGUGGCAAUUAUUUAAUACACAUUGAUAAUCAAAUUAUUAUGCAUAGAACAUUGAUGAAGAUUUUUAAAUAAUUUUAAUUUAUAAAAUUUAAAAUAUAUUAUUAAAAGACUAAUAUAUUUAUUGCAAGUACAAUAUAAGAGUAUUUAUUGAAUAAAAUAUAUUUUGUCCUUUUUUGCUUUUAUAAUAGCAUUUGAAGAUACAUUUACAUUGUACAAUUAGGAUUGCAAUGGAAGUGACUCAAAUUUCACUUAAAUUACAANNNNNNNNNNNNNNNNNNNNNNNNNNNNNNNNNNNNNNNNNNNNNNNNNNNNNNNNNNNNNNNNNNNNNNNNNNNNNNNNNNNNNNNNNNNNNNNNNNNNUGUAGGAGAGAAGUGGCGGUCCGCAAUGCAGGUUGAAAACCGCAUUGCGUGUGAAACCGCAUUCAUGGUGUGAUGAAAGAGCACUGAGAGUUUGUUGUGCAGCUUGGUUGUAUGCCACAGUCACACGAGUAUUUGAGUAAUUCACAAGGCCACGUUAAUUGUAGUCGGGCAUGGUUGUUGGAGUGGGACUCCGGUGGAUGCAUUUCGGUUUUGGUUCUAGUUUUUUACGCAGCUUGGUUAGAAUACUAAUUUCCCAAAGUAGAUAGCUAAUGAGAUUUCAUCCUAUUUGUUACCGUGUUUUUUUUUCUGGAUUAUUUUGCUAGCGAAUGUAGACUGUUGCACCCUUGCGAAUUCUUGUAGCGAUUAUAUUAUUCACUCUUUCACUGAAUUAGCUGUUUUUUCAUUGUUUCUUGUAUAUCUGCCAUUUUAAGGAUUUAUUAGUUUCAAGUUCAUAUCAUUUGCACAAGCAAAUAAAUGAACAACCUAAAUGGACAAUCUAAAUACACCACUGAUGCAAUAUCCCCAAUUGUUGAUAUAAACACAUGUUGCUAGUGAGUCAGCAAACAAAAUGAUCUUUUUGACCAUCAACACAACCUCAUUCUUAAGAUAUGCUUAUCAAAAUAAACUACUACACAAAGUUACAAAGUUACAUUAUAAAGCCUCCCACAACAAAAUCUACAAGCAAGGUCAAAGAGAAAAACUAAAAAUCCAUGUUCUAUUCUUUUCGACAACAACAUGAGAAAAGCAAAAAAUUUAUUCCAAGUAGUAGUGUUUUUGUCCCCCUAGAGGUUACAUUGGGUCUAUUUGUUUCUUGUGUUGGCUAUAGUGGAGAGGCAAUUGAAUUGGUGGUUUGUUGUAUCACUUUGUAAUAACUUGCAAUACUUUGAGUGGUCAUAAGAUCCAUAUGGUAAUAGAAGCCAUCUCAAUUGUAGGGGCUUCCUCACGCACCCAUAAAGAUAAUUACAAAAGAAAUAAUUAUAAAUAUUCUACCUAGAAUUCUUUAUUGAAGAAAAGAAGUCUAAAAGCUACAAACACUUAGCAUCAGCAAGGAUUGUAUUCUAAGAGAAGUGUGGAGAAAGUUAUCUCUUACUUCCAACACCUUUUACUUAUAGAUGGAGUUUACAUCCCAAGUACAUAGACUUCAUCUAGAGUCACCUUCAUCCUUUUAACUAGAUCUAGAUUCAUCUUAACCUAAUUGCCACCUUAAAACCCUAACUGUCACCAUAGUAACUUCUUUUAAUCCUUGGGUGCCUUUUGACUAUUAGCAACUUAUUAUGCUUAAUCUUUAUGUGGUGGUAACUAAGUAAGAACUUGUUGAUCUUCAACACUCCCACUUUACUAAUUUUCAAAAGGUUUUUAAUCCUAAUCUCUGAAUCAAGUGAUGAUGUCUAUUUUUCACUAAUGCCUUUGUAAGCACAUCAACAAGCAUGUCAUUUGUAGCAAAAUACUUCAUACCUAUUAUUCCAUCUUGAAUCAUCUCUCAUAUGAAAUGAUGUUGAAUAUCAAUGUGUUUGGUCCUUGAGUGGUGUUUUGGAUUCUUGGCAAAUGCAAGAUAUCUUUGAUUGUCACACAUAAUUAGAAUUGCUUCUAAUUGCACUAGACCAAUGUCUUCUAAGAAUUGCCUUAUCCAACACGCUUCCAUUGCACAAUGACUUGCUGCCAUGUACUCUGCUUCCAUCGUUGAUCUUGCAAUGGUAGAUUGUCUCUUGUAAUUCCAUGAAAUGACUCCCACUCCAAUGAAGAAGACAUAUCCCAUUGUGGAUCUUCUAUCAUUUGCAUCUCCAGUCCAAUCCGCAUCACAAUAACCUUGCAAAUCAAUGUUCUUACCACCAAGGCAAAAUUUGAAGUCUUUUGUACUUUUAAGUACCUCAAUAUCCUUUUUACUAUUGUCCAAUGCAUUGGACUAGCUUUAGACAUGUGUUGGCUUACAACACUUAUCGCAUAUGCAAGAUCCACUCUUGUGGCCACCAUUGCAUACAUGAGUGAGCCUACUGCUACUUUGUAUGGAACACUUUGUAUCUCACCUUCAACUUCUACAAAUUCCUCAUCCGUGAGCUUCAUCAACUUCAAAUUUGCCUCCAAGGGUGUUCCAAUGGGCUUGCACUCCUCCAUGUUGAAUCGUUUCAACACUUCUUCAAUGUACUUGAUUUGGCUCAUUGUAAUGGUCUUGUUACCACGAUCUCUUACAAAUUCCACUCCCAAGCAGUAGUGCAAUUCUUCCAAAUCACUCAUCUCAUAUUCCUUCUCUAAUUUGGCCUUCAUCCAAUCCAUCUUUUCCAUAUUGUUAGCCAAGAUGAUCAAAUCAUCAACAUAAAGGAUUAAAGUCAGCAAAAACUCUCUAGUUUGCAUCACAUACAAUGAAUGAUCAGCCUCAUUCCUCACAAACCCUUCAUUGAUAAAAAAAAAAAAAAAAAAGGUGUCAAUUUGUUGGUACCAUACCCUUGGUGAUUGUUUCAAUCCAUAUAAGGAUUUCUUCAAUUUGCACACAAGAUGUUCUUUGCUUUUUUGUAUAAAUUCUUGAGGUUGGUCCAUGUAGAUGUCUUCUUAUAAUUCUCCAUUCAAAAAGGCCGUCUUUACAUCCAUUUGGUGUAUUUCCAAAUCCAUUGCUGCACCAAUUGCUACAAUGGUCCUAAUGGUGGUGAAUUUGGCAACGGGUGCAUAAGUCUCAUUAAAAUCAAUUCCAACAACUUGUGAAUAUCCUUUAGCAAUUAGUCUUGCCUUGUGCCUCACCAUCACAUCCAUUGCAUCUCUUUUAGUCCUAAACAUCCACUUACAACCAACACUAGAUCGAUUUGUUGGAAGAGGUACCAAUUUCCAUGUACCAUUGUCCAUAAGAAAUUGGUAUUCUUCUUCCAUAGCCUUCUCCCACUUGAUUGCAUCUUCACACUUCAUAGCAUCAUACAAAGACAAUGGAUCAACAAGAAGAACAACAUUUGCAUGUUCUUCACUUACUUGAGGGAAGAUGUGAUCCUUCUACCAUUCGCCACGUCGCCUUCUUUCUCUCAAAAGAUAUCUCCUUUCACUUAUAGAAGAAUAUUCACCUUGUUGCACUCUAUGUUCUUUUUCAACCUUCUUCUCUCUUAAACCUUGUCGUUUCUCACUCAAUGGUUGAUACUCUUUAUCAUUAUCAUCAUUCCAAUCUCCAACAUCUUCAUUUCUUUCAUUGUUGGUCUUAGCAAUUGUAGGAGCCUUCAUCUUUUCAACCUUCUUUGGCUUUUCAUCUUCAUCAUCUUCAUUAUCUUCAUCUUCUUGUUUUUUUGCUGAAUUCAAAGAUGUAUCCACAAACACACCAUUACUCCCACUUGGACACAUCUCCAAGUGCUCACAAGCACUCUUAUGCUCCAAAAACUUAGCAUCACAACUAUUGGUGAUCUUCUUGGUUUCCAAGCACAUUAGCCUAUAUGCCUUAGUACCUUCACAACAAUCAAGAAAUAUACACUUUGUACCUUUUGCAUCAAGUUUGGACCUCAUACAAUCUAGUAUUUUUUUAUAUGCAAUGCACCCAAAGGUCCUGAUAUGGAAAAUGCAAAGUUGUCUCUCACUCCAAGCUUCUUGUGGUGUCAUUGAUGCAAGAGCAAUUGUUGGACACGUAUUUCAUGUGUACAUUGGAUUCACGACAACUUUCAUCCAAGAGUCAUAGCCAAGUUUUGGACGAAAGCUUAAUCCAAGAGUCAAAACCUUAGCUAUAAGUUUUGGACGAAAGCUAUGGUGAAUGCAAUGUACACAAGAAAUAGAUAUCCAACAAUUGCCCUUGCAUCAAUGACACCACAAGAAGCUUGGAGUGAGAGACAACUUUGCAUUUCUCAUAUCAGGACCUUUGGGUGCAUUGCAUAUAAAAAAAUACUAGAUUGUAUGAGGUCCAAACUUGAUGCAAAAGGUACAAAGUGUAUAUUUCUUGAUUGUUGUGAAGGUACUAAGGCAUAUAGGCUAAUGUGCUUGGAAACCAAGAAGAUCACCAAUAGUUGUGAUGCUAAGUUUUUGGAGCAUAAGAGUGCUUGUGAGCACUUGGAGAUGUGUCCAAGUGGGAGUAAUGGUGUGUUUGUGGAUACAUCUUUGAAUUCAGCAAAAAAACAAGAAGAUGAAGAUAAUGAAGAUGAUGAAGAUGAAAAGCCAAAGAAGGUUGAAAAGAUGAAGGCUCCUACAAUUGCUAAGACCAACAAUGAAAGAAAUGAAGAUGUUGGAGAUUGGAAUGAUGAUAAUGAUAAAGAGUAUCAACCAUUGAGUGAGAAACGACAAGGUUUAAGAGAGAAGAAGGUUGAAAAAGAACAUAGAGUGCAACAAGGUGAAUAUUCUUCUAUAAGUGAAAGGAGAUAUCUUUUGAGAGAAAGAAGGCGACGUGGCGAAUGGUAGAAGGAUCACAUCUUCCCUCAAGUAAGUGAAGAACAUGCAAAUGUUGUUCUUCUUGUUGAUCCAUUGUCUUUGUGUGAUGCUAUGAAGUGUGAAGAUGCAAUCAAGUGGGAGAAGGCUAUGGAAGAAGAAUACCAAUUUCUUAUGGACAAUGGUACAUGGAAAUUGGUACCUCUUCCAACAAAUCGAUCUAGUGUUGGUUGUAAGUGGAUGUUUAGGACUAAAAGAGAUGCAAUGGAUGUGAUGGUGAGGCACAAGGCAAGACUAAUUGCUAAAGGAUAUUCACAAGUUGUUGGAAUUGAUUUUAAUGAGACUUAUGCACCCGUUGCCAAAUUCACCACCAUUAGGACCAUUGUAGCAAUUGGUGCAGCAAUGGAUUUGGAAAUACACCAAAUGGAUGUAAAGACGGCCUUUUUGAAUGGAGAAUUAUAAGAAGACAUCUACAUGGACCAACCUCAAGAAUUUAUACAAAAAAGCAAAGAACAUCUUGUGUGCAAAUUGAAGAAAUCCUUAUAUGGAUUGAAACAAUCACCAAGGGUAUGGUACCAACAAAUUGACACCUUUUUUUUUUUUUUUUUUAUCAAUGAAGGGUUUGUGAGGAAUGAGGCUGAUCAUUCAUUGUAUGUGAUGCAAACUAGAGAGUUUUUGCUGACUUUAAUCCUUUAUGUUGAUGAUUUGAUCAUCUUGGCUAACAAUAUGGAAAAGAUGGAUUGGAUGAAGGCCAAAUUAGAGAAGGAAUAUGAGAUGAGUGAUUUGGAAGAAUUGCACUACUGCUUGGGAGUGGAAUUUGUAAGAGAUCGUGGUAACAAGACCAUUACAAUGAGCCAAAUCAAGUACAUUGAAGAAGUGUUGAAACGAUUCAACAUGGAGGAGUGCAAGCCCAUUGGAACACCCUUGGAGGCAAAUUUGAAGUUGAUGAAGCUCACGGAUGAGGAAUUUGUAGAAGUUGAAGGUGAGAUACAAAGUGUUCCAUACAAAGUAGCAGUAGGCUCACUCAUGUAUGCAAUGGUGGCCACAAGAGUGGAUCUUGCAUAUGCGAUAAGUGUUGUAAGCCAACACAUGUCUAAAGCUAGUCCAAUGCAUUGGACAAUAGUAAAAAGGAUAUUGAGGUACUUAAAAGUACAAAAGACUUCAAAUUUUGCCUUGGUGGUAAGAACAUUGAUUUGCAAGGUUAUUGUGAUGCGGAUUGGACUGGAGAUGCAAAUGAUAGAAGAUCCACAAUGGGAUAUGUCUUCUUCAUUGGAGUGGGAGUCAUUUCAUGGAAUUACAAGAGACAAUCUACCAUUGCAAGAUCAACGAUGGAAGCAGAGUACAUGGCAGCAAGUCAUUGUGCAAUGGAAGCGUGUUGGAUAAGGCAAUUCUUAGAAGACAUUGGUCUAGUGCAAUUAGAAGCAAUUCUAAUUAUGUGUGACAAUCAAAGAUAUCUUGCAUUUGCCAAGAAUCCAAAACACCACUCAAGGACCAAACACAUUGAUAUUCAACAUCAUUUCAUAUGAGAGAUGAUUCAAGAUGGAAUAAUAGGUAUGAAGUAUUUUGCUACAAAUGACAUGCUUGUUGAUGUGCUUACAAAGGCAUUAGUGAAAAAUAGACAUCAUCACUUGAUUCAGAGAUUAGGAUUAAAAACCUUUUGAAAAUUAGUAAAGUGGGAGUGUUGAAGAUCAACAAGUUCUUACUUAGUUACCACCACAUAAAGAUUAAGCAUAAUAAGUUGCUAAUAGUCAAAAGGCACCCAAGGAUUAAAAGAAGUUACUAUGGUGACAGUUAGGGUUUUAAGGUGGCAAUUAGGUUAAGAUGAAUCUAGAUCUAGUUAAAAGGAUGAAGGUGACUCUAGAUGAAGUCUAUGUACUUGGGAUGUAAACUCCAUCUAUAAGUAAAAGGUGUUGGAAGUAAGAGAUAACUUUCUCCACACUUCUCUUAGAAUACAAUCCUUGCUGAUGCUAAGUGUUUGUAGCUUUUAGACUUCUUUUCUUCAAUAAAGAAUUCUAGGUAGAAUAUUUAUAAUUAUUUCUUUUGUAAUUAUCUUUAUGGGUGCGUGAGGAAGCCCCUACAAUUGAGAUGGCUUCUAUUACCAUAUGGAUCUUAUGACCACUCAAAGUAUUGCAAGUUAUUACAAAGUGAUACAACAAACCACCAAUUCAAUUGCCUCUCCACUAUAGCCAACACAAGAAACAAAUAGACCCAAUGUAACCUCUAGGGGGACAAAAACACUACUACUUGGAAUAAAUUUUUUGCUUUUCUCAUGUUGUUGUCGAAAAGAAUAGAACAUGGAUUUUUAGUUUUUCUCUUUGACCUUGCUUGUAGAUUUUGUUGUGGGAGGCUUUAUAAUGUAACUUUGUAACUUUGUGUAGUAGUUUAUUUUGAUAAGCAUAUCUUAAGAAUGAGGUUGUGUUGAUGGUCAAAAAGAUCAUUUUGUUUGCUGACUCACUAGCAACAUGUGUUUAUAUCAACAAUUGGGGAUAUUGCAUCAGUGGUGUAUUUAGAUUGUCCAUUUAGGUUGUUCAUUUAUUUGCUUGUGCAAAUGAUAUGAACUUGAAACUAAUAAAUCCUUAAAAUGGCAGAUAUACAAGAAACAAUGAAAAAACAGCUAAUUCAGUGAAAGAGUGAAUAAUAUAAUCGCUACAAGAAUUCGCAAGGGUGCAACAGUCUACAUUCGCUAGCAAAAUAAUCCAGAAAAAAAAACACGGUAACAAAUAGGAUGAAAUCUCAUUAGCUAUCUACUUUGGGAAAUUAGUAUUCUAACCAAGCUGCGUAAAAAACUAGAACCAAAACCGAAAUGCAUCCACCGGAGUCCCACUCCAACAACCAUGCCCGACUACAAUUAACGUGGCCUUGUGAAUUACUCAAAUACUCGUGUGACUGUGGCAUACAACCAAGCUGCACAACAAACUCUCAGUGCUCUUUCAUCACACCAUGAAUGCGGUUUCACACCAAUGCGGUUUUCAACCUGCAUUGCGGACCGCCACUUCUCUCCUACAUUCGUCUUUUAGCUUUC